rnacentral:lncRNA from 1 species
GUAGAGUUUUAACGUAUGGCAUGUACCGUCAUUUAUCCAUCACAACUUGUGAAGACAACAAAAAUACUCACAAAAUAGAUUUGUAACCUGAAAAGAAAGAAGAUAUAUGUAGUGAAUGAGAAGAAGAAAGAAAGAAAUAGAUGAUGUGAGAGGAAAAACGUGGACGAUAGCCAGCCCGGAGGCUGACACUGUUGCUAAGCAAAACAAAAGAUAAAAAACAAAUGACUUAGAGAAAAAAAAAGGAAUUUAAAAAAAAAUUUAAAUAUUAUUUUCUACUUACAUUAUGGGUAUGAUAAAUUUUAAUAUUAUAAAAUUAAUUAUUUAUUUAAAAUAUCGUUAUUUUUAUUAAAUAUAAUUUUGUAGUAAAUUACCAUUUUGAACAAAAUCAUGUUGACAACAUGUUUUAAAUAAAAAAUAGACAAAAAUGAAAUGAUACUUCUACUUUUAACAAAGGUUAUAAAAGCAUAUUCUACCGAAAGAAAAAACAAAAACGUAUUGGGUUUCCUAAUAAUCUUUUGCAGGAAAAUGAAAAUGAAAUAUACGAGCACGAGAUAGAAGAUUAUUGUAAGUUUUUAUUUUUCUUUCCUUCCCUCACUCCUAUUCUAAUCCAACAUAGGGUUACUAUAAAAAAAAUUAAAGAAAAAAAAGAAAAGUAAAAAUGGAAGAGGAGAGACUGGAAAUGAAGUUGGGAAGUUACGGAGGGAAGGUGAGUGUGUUGGAAUGGGAGACAGAAUCGGGUGCUGCGGAGGAGACGAUGCUGCUUUGGGGAAUCCAACAGCCCACUCUCUCCAAACAAAACGCCUUCGUUUCCCACUCUUCUCUCCAACUCCGUCUUGAUGCCUGCGGCCAUUCUCUCUCCAUUCUCCAGUCUCCUUCUUCCUUGGUAUUUUAUUUUUCAAUUUUUCUGCCUUGCAUGCUUCUAUUCCUCUGCAUCUCUACUUUAGCCUUUAGCGGCAACUGACCUGAUUUCCUCAGCUUAUUAAUAGAUUUAGCAAAACAAUUUGAUAUUUUCCUUUCCUCAAAUUUCUAAUCAAUCUGGAAGUCACUUGAACAUUUAAAGUGUAUCUUGAACUAUUGGUAAAUCCUUUUUUUGCAGUUAUCCGAUUUUUCUUUUCACCCCUAAAAUUUCUGCAGGGAAAACCUGGAGUAACUGGAGCAGUCAUAUGGGAUAGUGGAGUUGUGUUAGGGAAGUUUUUGGAGCAUGCUGUGGACUUGGGAAUUCUUGUUCUGCAAGGCAAAAAGGUCGUUGAAUUGGGCUCUGGCUGUGGAUUAGUUGGGUACGUCCAAUAUCUUUCGUGGCCUAAACUUGAAUUAUUCUGAAAUUGCGGCGGCUCUUGGAAAAAGGAGAAAAUUGAAACUCACGGACUGUUUCAAACUCUUUUGACAAUCAUAUUAUUUGUCUUGACACAAAUUUUAGCUGUCAUGUUGUUUAGCAACAGAAUUUUGGUCUUCUUGAAUUUGCGUAUCUUACGCAUAGAAUUCAUGAUUUUAGUUUAUAUGUACAAGUAAUUAUAAAGGUUUUAAUGAAGACUAUUGCUUAUCUCACUUGGGAGUAUAUUAUUUGCAUGUUCAGGUGUAUAGCAGCUCUUUUAGGUGCACAAGUUAUCCUCACUGAUCUGCCUGAUAGAUUGAGGCUACUUAAAAAGAAUGUUGAAAGCAACUUGAGACAUGGAGUGAGGGGUUCUGCUGCUGUGAAGGAACUCACUUGGGGAGAUGACCCUGACAAUGACUUGAUUGAACUUCCACCUGAUUAUGGUACUAAGAUUCCCCUAUUUCUUCCUAAUUUGAAGCUUUGGCAGUGUUAAGUUACAAUUGUCUAGUUUGAUAAUAAAAAUAGGGACGCUGAGGUUCUUUUCCAUGAUUAUGCAAUAAAAGAAUAGAUUUUCUGGUGGUAGGCGGAGUGUUCCAAACAUACUUUGUUAGGCAAUACUCAAGUAUAAGCUUUAUUUCACUGAUGCUUUCAUUACGUGAGAAAAUUCCUACAAGCCCAUAACAUGGAUUUGUUUCAACUCCAACUAUGGCUGUUAAUUUUGAAUUUAUAAGCCACAGAUAGAAAAACAAGCAUUGGAAAUAGCUGAAACUAAACUUCUCUUACGGCACAUAUAAUGUGUCCUCAUGCAUGUUUGCUCAUAUUAAGUCCUGAUAAAUCCAAUUUUAUGGGCCUCACCUCUUAUUUGUUAUGGUAUCAGUUAUUGCCUGCCUCUCUUCCUUAUUGUAUAACAAGCCUGACAUAACAAUUAUGAAGAAUAACACAUAAUAGGUUCUUUGUCCUCAUUUGAGGGUUAAUGUUAAAUAGUGAUAUUAUUUUUCACGUGAAGAAGCCACAGUAUAGCCUCAUUAUCCUGCAUGUCAAGGGGAUUCUAAGUGCUGAUAAGUUCCACAUCUAUUAGCUGUGAGAUUUUAAAUUUACCAGUUGAUUUUAGCAAUGUUAUGAAAAGCAUAUGCUAUGUACUAGAAGCCUUACAUUAUCUGAGCUGAAAGGCUCAAGGAAAAAAAAAGUUCUUUGAAGGUGAUAGCUUCGAACUCUAUGUAUGAAUUAUGUCUAGUAAGCUUAAAAUAUGUGAUAAUUAAGGAAUUUAAUACAUGCCUAAUAUGCUUCAAAGAUCAAUAAUUAUCAUAACUAAUGUGAUCAAAUAAAGACACAAGCUUCCCUUAUUUUAUUUAAUUGUGCUUCAUUGCAUUAUUUAAUUUUUUAUUUCUGUAAAUAGAGCUGCAGCUGACCUUUUCGACUUUUCAAAAAAAGUAGCUAGCAAAAGAAAACAAAGUAUGCUUAAAGUUGGGUAUGCUUUUUCUGCUUGUUUCACUAUGCAUAAGUUGGGCAUGCUUUUUCUGCUUGUUUCACCUUGAAAAACAAAAUCAGCUAGGCACAAAAGGCAUGUGUUUUAUUAAAGCAUCUUGCCUGAAGGGAUGAAAGAUGCUUUGUUUGAUAUGAGCUGCAUCUUAGCACCUAGAUGCAUGUCUUGACUAAAAGGAGUUUUAGAUUUGGUGCCUCGUUUCUAUCAAUCAGCUGAGUUUAACUUCCACCUUAAAUAGUUGUUAUUAUGUUUUCAGUUGACUGGGCCUUCACGUGAGUUAGUGUUGUCAAUGUGUGUGCCCAGGCACGUCUACACCUGCACCUUACUGUUAAACAACAAAAUCGCUUCAGACCCUCUCAGGCAAGGCCAUUUGAUCAGGUGCACAUCUAGGGCAUCUAGGUGUGCUUUUGUAAGGCUAUAGGCAUAAGAAACGCCUGUUUGAUUGAAGUUCUCUUUAAUUUCUUUUACAUUCAGCUUUCUUUAUUAAAUGUACCUUUACUAGUAAAAGAAGGGAUAAUAUCAAACUUUCUACUUCAAUAUUUUAGCAUUCAACAACGAACAUGGGACCAUAAGGAAAUCAUGCAUAUUGGCCAACAAAAAAAAAAAAAUUGCAUUGUUUUGUAGGUAAACUAGACCACUCUUUAGAGUUUAUCAUCAUAACUUUCAAGCUUAUAUAUAUGGCAUAUAAUGUACACAUAGAGAAAUAUAUACAUAGCCUAACUUCAUCGAGGCAGGAUCUCUUUCUGCAUGAUGCGCCUGAGACAAUACAAGGGUUCUAUUCACACUUUGCCAUUUCAUCCAAGGCCCAUAGGCCUUAAAGUUUUAGAUUGAGUGGUGGAGUUUUUGCUCAAUGAGUGUAAAGGCUCUAGUGAUAAUAGUAAGGACCAAAGAUUUUCAUAACUUUGGAUCAUAACAAAUAAAUAAAUAAUUUCAUUUUCACCUAAGGAGCUAAUGUGUUGAAAUUUGACUUUAUGUUGGUCUCACAGUGCGGAAUUCCUUUGCUAAACAUGUGGAAAUUUCUCCUGAUAUCAUAAAUAAUUGAUCAAAUUUAAUCUUGUAUUCAUUGAUAAGUUAUAUGUACCAGUUUUCUAGUGCUAGGUUCAGAUGUGAUCUAUAGUGAAGGAGCAGUUGUGGAUUUGUUGGACUCCCUUACACAGCUAUGCAGGCCACAAACAACAGUGUUUUUGUCUGGGGAACUUCGAAAUGGUUAGGAUGUCUCCCUCACAAACAUAGGUACAUGUAUCAACAUAACUUCACUUACUGAUGUGUUGCUCUUGAUGCUUAAAACUGCAGAUACUGUCCUUGAAUGCUUUCUAGAAGCUGCAGUGAAGGACUUCGUGGUUGGGCGCAUCAAUCAGUCACAGUGGCAUCCAGAUUAUCGUAGUCCAAGGGUUGUCAUGUACAUCCUAGUGAAGAAGUGAGGUCAGACGGGAAAAAAAUCACUGCGAAUUGUGAGCAGAUAAAGUCGGAUAUUCAUUCAGCCAAAUUUUGAACAUGUUUGAGUAACCUAUUUCAAUCUUUUGGAUACAGAAUCGAAAGACCAUAUCCUGGCGUGCUUAAUGAUGCUUGGAUUUGCUUGACUGUAGGCUUAUUGCCAUAGAUAUUUGAUUUUCCUUUGAUCUACUCCUAUGGCUUUUCUUGUUCUUUUAGUGAUAAUCUUUUUUAACUAAUCAGGAGUAGUCAACUAAGCUCAUGGUGUAAUGGUAAAGGACUUGAUUAUCAGCAGAUUUAGAGUUAGAUUUCUGAACAAUUCCAAUCCUAAAUAUUUGUGUUUUUUUAGCUUUUCUUGUUUUUGUUGCAAAAGUCAUCAAAUGAAGUUUACUGUUUUUUCUUAUUAAUCCUUUAAAGUCUUCAAUUUCUAACGUUGCCUUUGGAUUUUAUAAAAAAAUAGUUCAGAUGUUCAAUCAUAACUAAAAACCUAAAAAUAUAAAAACUUGUAAAUAAUUAGAAAAAACACAAAUAAAAUGUAAAUAAAUAAAACUAUUAAAAAAAGUACGUAAUUUUUGAAAAUUUAGAAAUAUGUUAAAUUUUUUAAAAAUUGUAAAAAGAAUAAUAAAAAUUAUAAAAAAAAUUAGCUAAAGUAGAAGAAUACUCACCUAAUUAUUCAAUUCAUUCUAUUUUAAUCACUAAACUAUUAAUUUUUGUUAUUUAAUUACUCUAUUUUUCAAAUUUACUUUAGCCGUUAACUUUAUGUAGAAGUUUAACCUGCGUUUUUUUAAUUAGACUAAUAACAAAUUUAGCUCUCAAAUGUAUAUACAUUCUAACACUUCGAUCCCAAAUUUUAAAAAAAGUUCAAUAAAUUUUACCUUCAAUGUUUACAAAAAUUGUCAUUUUAAUUUUAAUUCUAAAAAAUAUAAAAUAUAUUUAAAAAAUCUUAAAAAUAUUUUUACAUUUACAUUUUAAAAUUUUGUAAUUUAUAUACACUUUUUUUUCUCAUCAUGCUCAUUUUUUCAUCAACAAAACAUGCGAAAAGCCUACAAAUUAAAUCUAUUUUUGAUUCAAUCUCUUUUGAUUUACUCCCUUUUUCUAUUGCUAUAUUGUUAGUUUCAAAUGCCUAAUUAAAAUCCAGAAAGUUCUUAAAAUUUAACAAAUUUAUAAACCUAGAAAAUUAGUUGGGUUGAUGACACCAACUUUAACGGCCUUACUCUUUGCUACAGAGAUAGUACCAGUUUCAAGCUCUAAUGUUCUCAUGUCUUUAUUAUUUCUAGUUCAAGCAUUGAGAGAGAUUGUAGGUCAAGGCUAUGGCAUUUGAUAUUUCCAACUUAUUCAAUUGAACUCAAGAAAAAAAAAUUGAAAGAUACUGUUAAAAGUAAUUUUGAGUAAAAAACUCUUAGAUAUAUUUUUAUAUUUACUUUAUCUUUUUCCAAAAUUUUGAUAUUUUUUAAAAUAUUUUUAUAAUUUUUAUAAUCAUGACUAAAAUGACAAAUAUUGUAAACAUAAAAGGCUAAAUUUGUUGAAUUUUUUUAGAUUUAGAGUUGAAUUGAUAGAAUGUGUAAACAUUGGAAGGCUAAAUUUGUAAUUCCAAUAAAACAAACCCUACGUUAGACUUCCAUUAGCCUACUAACAGAAGAGUCACUAAAAUAUUUAAUUUCAAAUAGUUGAGUGACUAAAACGAAAAAAAUUAAUAGUUGUGUGACCAAAAUAGAACGAAUUGAAUGGUUAGAUGACUAUUGUUGUACUUUAUCCAAAAUACAAUCCAAAAAACUCAUAAAAAUAUUAGAAAUUGUAAAAGAUUGUUAAUUUAAAAAAAAAAGAGUAAAAAUUGUCAUUCCCUAAUCACAUUUAAAAUAAUAUAAAAUUGUAUUUAAAAAUGUUUGAAUAAAAAUUGAACAAUUUUUUUUAUAUCAUACAUAUAUUACAAGGUCUUAAACUCCUAGAUGAUGAGGAUAGUGUAAUUUUUUUGUCACGUGGAUUAUUCAUAUUUUAAAUUAAUUAAUAUUUAAAAAAAAUGUGAUUAGUUUAAAAAGAAUAAAUAUUAAAAAAACUAUUUUAACCAUUUAUCUUUUAUUUUAUUCAAAUUUUUAGUUUAAAAAGUUUUGAUAAACAUCCAUUAUCUUUUUUCUCACGUACAAAAAUAUUAUGCCAUUUAUGCUCAUAAUUUUUUAACUUACGAAUAAACUAGCAAAAUAAAAAGACAUGUAUUGAUAGGAAUGUCCAAAUUGUGAAUUUGAUUUAAAAUUCUAAACGAACAUAAUGAAAUUUGGAAUUCAACUGAACCUGUAACGCGAACAAUCCAUGUUAGAUCUAAUAGAAACAAGAAAACUGAAUAAAAAAUUAGCAUUCUUGAAGAGUUCUUCUUGAUGAGAUCUAAUUUAAUUAAAGCUGCCAAGAAGUGAAAAUAAUCAGUCAAGACAAAUUUGAUGGAUUAAAUAACAAAACCAAAUGAAAUCACAAACUAAGGAAGAAGAUUGACUUGGUCAGCCAAGAAGAAUGAAGAUCUAAGUAUUUGGAGGUGUUUUGGAUCAAUCUUGAUGGAGAAGAAACUGUCGAACUCAAAUUUAAACAAAAGAAACAAAAAUAGAUUAGUAAGUGAUUGAAUUGAAUGAAAAAGAAAUCAAACACCAAGGAAAGAGAGAGACAACCAAGAGGGAAUCCAAGAUCUAAAAUCAAAAGAAACUAUUCUUAAACUCUAAAUAAGCCUCCAAUCAAAUCUAAAAUUAAAAUAACAAAAUAGUUUAUUAGAAUGAUUUUUUAAGCCAAAAUAAAACUAUUUUAUAACAAAAGCAUUUGACACAAGAACAAAAGAAGAGAUCUCUUAUUUUUGAGUGAUUCUUGAUGUAACAAGAUGGGAAAGCAUCUUUUCUUGGUUAUUUAUGGCUUGGAGAUAAGUCAAGUAGAAGAUGAGAAACAUAUAAACAAGAACCGAAAAAUAAACUAAAUAAAAGAAGAAAAAAGAUGGAAAAAGAAGAAGAUGGCAUGAUAGUGCCCUAACGAGCCUUGGAAUUAAAGAAAACGAUGGUUCCCACAAUUUAAAAGGUUGUUAAAACUUCUUUUAAAAGAAAUUCAAGAGAAGUAUGCCAACUAAGCAUGACAACUCAUCAACUAACUAAUUAACAUGUGAAAACUUGUCUAAGUGUGAAAUUUGAUAUGAAAUUCAGUUAGGGUCUAAAUGGGCUCCUAGGGACGAAAUCUUAAAUAUUGAUCCACUUAUUAAAUAAAACUAAGACUGAAAUUUAAAAAGAAUUAUAGUUUGGGCCAUUUUGACAAUUUGGCCAACUAUUCAACUGACUCAUUGUCUAAACUUCAUAUUGGGCUUGUGGACAUCUCAAUGGGCUGAUUUUUAAGAACUUGGACUUUUGAUCUAUUUGUUCUCGAAUUUGACUCGUUUAAGCUCGUAAAUGUAACCCAUUGCACACCAGCUUCAAGAAUCAGUUUCUUGGAUCAAGAAUUUCAAGAUUUGAAAAUCUUGAUUUUCUUGAUUCUUGAAAUAACCCAAAACAAUAAAAUUGGACCAAGAUCCAAUUUCUUGAUUUUCUUGAAAAUAAGAAAGUGAAUCUUAAUUUUUUUUCCUUGUAUGCAAUUAUAGGGCCUUUGUAACAAAAUCUUGGAUAGUUCCAUUUAAUCUUACCUUCGCUUUUGAACUUGUUAUUAGGCUUUAUGGUAAAGAAAGUCCAUCACAUCCAUGAUGCGAAACUUAGGGCCCAAUCUCAAGCCCAUAGACAUGAUGGACUUUCUUUACCACAUGGCCCAAUAACAAGGUCAAAAGCAAAAUAAAUCAAUGCAAGAUUGAAUGGAACUACCUAAGACUUUGUUGUGAAGGCUCUAAAAGUGCAUACGAGGGAAAAAGAAAAUCAUGAUUCACUUUCUUAUUUUCAAGAAAAUCAAGAAAUCGAAUCUUGGUCCAAUUUUUUUGUUUUGGGUGAUUUCAAGAAUAAAGAAAAUCAGGAUCUCAAUCUUGGAAUUCUUGGUCAAGGAAACUGAUUCUUGAUGUCGUUGUGCAAUGGAUUACACUUACGAGCUUGAAUGAGCCAAUUUCGAUAGCAAACAGAUCACAAGUCCAAAUUCUUGAAAACUGACCCAUUGGGAUGUCCACAAGCCCAAUAUGAAGUUUAGAGGACUUAGUUGAAUAUUUAGCCAAAUUGUCAAAGUGACCCAAUUUGUAAUUCUUUUUAAAUUUCAGUCUAAUUUUUAUUUAAUAAGUGGAGAAAUAUAUAAGAAUUUGACCCAAGGAGCCCAUUUAUACCCUUGACUGAAUUUCCCAUCAAAUUUCACACUUAGACAAAUGUUCACAUGUUAAUUAGUUAGUUAGUUAGUUGAUGAGUUGUCAUGCUUAUUUGGCAUACUUAUCAAAACCCUUAAAUUAAGGAGAUUAGGUAGCACUUGGAUGGCUAUAUAUAGUGUGCCCCCUUUUUAUUAAAAAAUUAUUCGUCUUUUGUUUAAUAAAUACCUUUUGAGUUUCUUUCUUCAAUAAUUUCUUAUUAAUUUCUUUUAGAAGUAGUUUUAACAAUAUUUUAGAUUGUGGGAACCAUCUUCAAACAUUGACUUGCUAAGAAUACUUUCUUGGAGGGGAGAUUAGAGAUGUUUGAAGAGAGUUGUGAUUUUUUUUAAUUCUAAUGUGUUAAAAGAAGCUUUAUUUGAUAAAUGUUUUGAUAUAACAAAUAUAAUGUUUUUCAAUAAAAUUAGUUUUUGAAUAAAACUUGAUAAAUUUCAAAGUAAAAAUUUAUUUUAAAAUAUUUCUAAGAGAUAAAAUUUUAAAUCUAAUCUUUCAAACACUUAGAAAAUAUUUUGGAAGUUCUUCAAAACAAAAAACAAUUUUACAAACAUUUUUAAACAAGUUAAAAUGCUCCCAAAGGUCAAAGUACCGAUACCCUCUAUAAGGUAUUGAUACCCUGACCCAAAGUAUGGAUACCGAUUUGAGCUUCGAAGUUCAAAAAAAUCGAGCAAAAGUCCAAGGUACUGAUACUUUUAAUCAAGUAUUGAUACCUUUCAAAAAAUUAUCGAUACCCAUGUCUGGUAUCGAUACCAAUUUGAGUUUCUGUUUCACAAAAAAGAUUGAGCACAAAUACAAAGUAUCGAUACCUUGCAAAAUUUAUCAAUACCCUCCCCUGGUAUUGAUACCGUUUUAAGGUCCGAUGUUUUGAAAAAUAAACAAGAAUUUCCCAAGUAUUAAUACCCUCCCCAAUGUAUCGAUACCUCAUAGAAAGUAUUGAUAUUUCCUCUAUUGUAUCGAAACUAUAGGCUUUAACAAUCACUAAAUUUAAGCAUUAAAUGCCCAAAGUAUUGAUAUCCCUCCAAAGGUAUCGAUACCUGUUGUUGCAGGAAACAUAAAUGCUUUGGUUUACAGAGCUCUAAUGGCUCCAUUAAGUUUCUCAACAACUACAAUGGUUGGAAAUCAAUUAAGGGGUAUAAAUAUCAGCUUCCAAAGCCUCUACAAUAACAAGAGAGAUUACAAAAAGAUCAAGGGCUGCAAGAUACAAAAAAAAUUCAUUAUCAACCUUUUGUGCUUCAAUUCUUCAUCUUUUUUCUACAAGCACUUGCGAGCAAUUCUUUGUGUUUUAUCAGCUCAAGUGUUAUUAUUGUGUGAGCCAUCGCUUGACAUGUGAACGUCUGGCUGGAAAUACUACAGCAAAAAGAUAUAUUAAGCAGUGGUGUUCACAAGUAUACAAGUCAAAUUGUAAUAUAGUAAAGUGUUACAAUGAAACACUUCGAGAAGUAUUCCGAGGAUCGUAGCCAAGGGAUUGCGGAUUGGAGAAAUUUAUUAUUAAAUUAAUUACCGAAAAUAAUUACUAAUCUACUUGAAUCAUAAAUCAGUAGUGUUGAUGCAGAAUUAAAAUAUUAAUUAAACUAAUCUAAAAUAACUUAAUGGAAUUUAAUUAACCUAAGAUAUCAUAAUUAAAUUUCCUAUUCGGUGUUAAUGAUGCUAGUUCUCGGCCUAUGAUCGAUUAAAUCCAUAAUUAUCAAUUAAGUCUCUAAUUACCUUCAACUGAGUUAUUUACCACCCUUAGCUACAAAUACCAUUUCAGUUUCAUCUUCAUUAUGGAUUACCACCUAAGUCACCUUUUUGGUCUCUUCCUAAGCAUAUAGAUACCCUUUUGGUCCCACUUGUCUAGAUAUUUUCCUAGGGGCAUCAUUCCCUAAUAUACUAAGUAUUCUUGAAUAAACACCCAAUUUUAGUUAAAUAAUUACUUAAUUAAUAAAUUAGUUUCAUAAUCAAAACAUGCAAGAUCUAAAAUACGCACAAGAUUUUAUCUCAAGAUUCACACAAAUGUUAUUUGAUCAAGUUAAUGAAAUAUAAAUAACGGAAUAAAAGAAUAAAGGAAAAGAGAAUAUUCAUUAAUAAAUAACAGAUGCGUGGCUUCAGAACAAUCUUCGCUCGUAAUCAUUUUCACAUCGAAAUAGAAUGAUCCCGACUAAGCGAACAUAAGAAAAACUAAAAUAAAACUAAAGAAUGAAAGAAAACAAGAAAUAAAAAUAUGAAAUAUUGUUUCGACGACUCCCUAGGGAGAAUCCCUAGGUUGACUCCUUUCUAAUGAUGUUAUAAUGGGGUUUAUACAAGCUACAAUUGAGGGUUUUAAGUGCCUAAAACGUCUUUUAAUUAAUUAGGGUUUUAAUGAGACAAAUAUGCCCUCAACGACUACCAAAACACAGAUGUGCGUAUCUAGAUUUUCAUCGCGAUGUCGACCCUAUUUAAGCUCUGAAUGCUUCAAUGUUUGGUGUCCCUAUGCUGCAUGUUGGUUUUGUGACGUUGGUAUCGUCAUUUGUGCUCUUUGACCUGAAAUGGCAUCCUAAACACUCAAAUAGCCUAUUAGUUAUUCUUGAGACCCAAGUUGGCCUAACAGGUCAUCAAAAUACUAAAAAGUGCGUAAAAAUGCUUAUUUUGCAACAAAAUGGAUCUAAGCUAAUAAAAUGGAAAAUGCAAUAAAUAAACAUAAAACGAUUAGAAAAAAAGCUUGUUAAGUGCCGAAAACAUUUUAAUUUGCCACAAUAAAUUGUGGCAGAUCAAACUCCUCCACACUUAACUCAUUGCUUGUCCUUAAGAAACAAAACAAAGAAAUAGAAAAUAAUAAGAAAACAAAAUGACUAAACGAUGCUUGAGCAUACUUUAUAUGUGAGAUUAGUUUGGAACAUUAUAAACAAGACAAUGUAAAGAAACAUGUAAGUCUAACACGAUAUAUAAUUGACUCUCGAUUUUCAAUAUCAAACAUGUUAGUUUAGUAUGUUACAAAGUAAACAAAUUCAAGAAUGUCAAGCAUAUUAUUCCAUCUAAACAAAUGCAUAAGUACACAUUUAUGUUCGCAGAAUAAAAGUGGCAAGAAUCGUCAACAUUCAGUUUAAUUUUAAUCCAUGAGUUUUAUCACUUAGGUCACAUAGGACUUUUCUACUUGUAAUGUUCUACAGCUUAGGUUGGUUCAAAAUUGAAGAACUAACUCUACAAAACGUGUUAAACACGAAAAUAGUUUGGCAUAUUAUAUUGACCCCAAUUCUACCCCAAUUAUAUCAUUUACCUAACCACCUUAUGUCCCCUUCUCUUGCCUUCCUUUUCUCUCCAUUUCCUAAGGUACAUUUUAGUAUCCAUGAGUAUAAUCAUCUUAGUGAGUCUUUUGUGCAAAAUGAGUGUUUUUUUUCUAUUUUUGUUCUUUCUUUCUCUUCCUUUUUACUCACUUUGCUUUUGUUCAUUCGAGAUUUUCUCAUUUGGAUUUUAGCCUUCACAAAAAUUUUCUUCACUUGAUUUUUUUCUUCAUUUAAGCACAACUUUGCAAGAAUCUUAUACUCACUAUACUGUAAUAUUCCUUAGUUUUUACUCUCAAUUAUUUUCAUUUUGAAACCUCCAUUAUGUAUCUAGCUAACCAGCAAUAUUAAUGGCCCAACGUCUAAGUUCGUGCUGGGACCAAAAAGAAAAAAGGAUUAAGAGAUUAUAUACUAGGCUUAUGGUUUCAUUCAAGGUUCAUCAAGAAAAUAGAAUUGGACCCAAAAUAAGGUACUAGGGAAUUUAUACAUAUGGUUGGAUUUUUGUCUCUAGUGGUGACCAAACAAUGCCGUAGGUAAUCCCUAUAAUUCAAACAAACAUAUAUGUUUUUCAUGUACUUAUUUUUCAUUUGGUAUGCUUAACACACUUUCACCUAUUUAUAGUGUAACAAAGUGAACUAAUUAAUUUAACAUCAAACAACCUAAAAUCAAUUACUAUCGAGCUAAAUUUACGAUCUAUACACAUAAUCCUAUUUAGGGAUUUAAAUAGCGGUCCGAUAUCGGAAUAGCGAUUGCUAUAUAGCGGUAGCGGCGCCGUCCGAAACCGCUAUUAUUGAAAAUAGCGGUGUAAAGUGGAGUCACACCAAUAGCGGUGGAUUGCGGCCGCAAUUUAACGGGUAAUGGCCAAUUGCGGCAAUAACGGCCGCUAUUCCCGUUAUUUUCUGUUACAGUAAAUUAAAAAAAAAGUCAUCUCCUCUAAACAAAAAUCAAUAGAAACACAGUAAAACCAAAGGGAAUAUAUUCCCCUACUUGCAAAAUCAAAGAGUUUUCAAUCAAAAAAAGUAAAAAGAAGUCCAAAUAAACAGAAAUAAGUAAUCAAAACUCAAAAGAAAUAGAAAAUAUGAAAUUCUAUUUCUUAUAUUUCAGCAAACAACAAGCAGCAGAUGAAAGCAAGGAGCCGAGGACUUGAAUCUGAAAAGCAAACCCUGCCCUAAUCACUUGCACAUUCAGAGAUUGAUAAUUUUCAAGUAAGUACCUGAAAUUUUGUCUUAAUUUUUACUUGUUUAUCUUGAAUCUACAGUGCAAAUAUGUUCUUUAGAAUUGAGGACACCAUUUGAACCGCUUGACGCCAUUUAUUUCCUCUUCGAAGUUCUAGGUUUCUUCCUGUUCUUUCUCAGCCCUUCUAAGCCAGUCCUCAACGUCUUCAUAGAUGACCUUAAUUUGCCUUUUAGCCUCAUCGACAUGAGUUUUCACCAUCUGUUUCCUCAAUUUAAGUUCCUUUCGUUGAUUCUUGAAAUUUUCAAUAAUCUCUCCAUAACAGAAAAAGUAACAGAGAUAAGGUGAUGACAGAUGACUGAUGCGUAUUCCUUUACCUGGUUUUUCACACUUUCAACAGCAGUAGAGGCAACAUAUUCGACCAUUUUUGUUGAUAGUCUGAUGAUGUUGAAGUUUAGAGUUGGAGGCUACUAGUUAGGGAAUAGAAUCGUUUCAUUUGAUUUUGAUUUUUCUAUUUUUGUUUUGGUUUAUGGCUUUAUGGCUUAUGCUGCUCUGUUUUGUUUUUUCUUUGGUUCUCGUUUUACUCAUUAAUUAGGGGCAGCCACCGUCCAUUUUAUCCACUAGAAAAGAGCCAUGUAAAUUGUGCUUUUAUUGAGAAAUGGUAACCAUAAAGUUUCUAUCAAUUUGCAGCCACCGUCCGUUUCAUCCACUAGAAAAGAGCCAUGUAAAUUGUGCUUUUAUUGAGAAAUGUUAACCAUAAAGUUUCUAUAAAUUUUUUAAUAAAGUAAAUUGUUAAAAAUUUUCUUAAAACAAUUAUUAGAAAAUUUCUUUAUUAAAUUUAAAAAAUAUAAAUCUCUGGACACAAUUUUUAAUAUGACAUGUAAUAAAGUCUUUAUAGUUAAUUUUCCCCUUAAGUCUCUUAAGUCUUUGUUAUCUAUGAACAAACAUUCAUAUAUUAAAAAUUAAAAAAGUAAAACAUAUCUAAGAAAAAGAAAGAAAAACACUCUUUUUGAAAGAAAUCAGAAAAUGAAGAUGUUUAGUUAGCUUAUAAAUAAAAAAUAGUAUUAAGUAAAUAGAACAUAAUAAAUGAUUGGACAAGCAAAGGACUAAAAGAGAAAAAAAACGUUCAUUUAAUUUAGAAACAAUAAAUUAAAGAGCCCAAAAAUUUAAAGAAGAAUCUUGCCUGACCGAAAUAUUUAUAAACUCAUAUUAGAGAGAAAAAAGAAGAAGAAGCUUUAGAAAGGCUUCUCAUUUAUUAGCAAAAUUAACACAAUAAAGAAAAAGAAAACUUUAGAUUAACUUAAGAGAGUAAAAAAAAAUGAUUUCUAAAUAUAAUUUAGUUUGCAUAAUAUGAAAAACUUGAAUUUUUAAAUUUGAUCCAAUUUGAAUUUAAAUUUUAUUAAGAGGGAACAAAACAAACUAUUUAUACCAAAAACUUUGGAACCAAGUAAUAAUGGCUUUAUUUAUGAGGUUGUUGUUAGAGCUAAGCGAGCAAUUCAACAAGAUUGUCGAUAUUUCACCGAGUACGAAAAGAUUAUUGACAAUAGAUGGAAUUUUAUGCAUUCCGACUUGCAUUCAGCUGGUAAGAUAAAAUGUUUCAUAUAAUUAAGAACUAUUUUUAUAUUUUAUUAUUUUAAGCUUUAGAUUAUUAUUUGAUGAUAUUCUGAUAAAUUAUAAUUAGGUUAUUUUCUCAAUCCUCAAUUUCAAUUUGGGGUGGACAUUCUGAGAAUGUACUAAUAGAAACAUUAGAAGGUACACGAUCAAUAAUUGAAAGAUUAGAACCUUCUCUUGAUACUCAUGUCAGAAUGGUUAAUCCGGUUAGAUUCAAGUACUAUUAUUUGUAACUUAGUUACAUAAUUUGAAAUAGAAUUUUUUUUAAAUUUUACUCUAUCUUUCAUUUAUGCAGUUGUUACUAUUUAGAGAUAAACAUGAGACAUUCGGUACUCCACAAGCACAAAGAGCUUGGCAGCAUAUGAAUCCGGGUAAACAGUUAAUUAAAUAAUUUAAUUUAAUUUAUAUUAUUUACUUAUAUUGUAUAUUUUAAAGUUAUUUUGAAAUUUAAAUAAUAUUAUGCAGCUGAGUGGUGGAUAAUAUACGGCACAUGUGUUCCCGAAUUACAAAAAUUAGCAAUUAAAGUGCUUAGUCAAACAACUUCAGCAUCAAAUUGCGAACAAAAUUGGAGCACAUUUAGUUAUAUUCACACCAAGGCAAGAAAUAGGUUAAAGUAUAAAAAAACUUGAGAAACUAGUGUUUACCUAUUAUAAUAUGAGGCUUUAGAUAAGGUAUCAAAAAAGAAUGAGUACUGAUGAUAUAAACGCUAGUUUUAAUCCUAUUAGCCUUGAUCAUAUCUUUGAAGAUGUUGAUCUACUAUCAGAAUGGCUUCAUGAGAAAGAGAAUCCAUUGUUAGAUGGUGAAAAUGCCGGUGUGUUGCCUGUGGAUACCUCUGAUGAUGAAAUAGAUGUUGAUCAAUCUCAACAACAAAAUUUGUCUCAUUCAAGUUCUAGUUCAACGCCACGUCAAUGUGGCGAUGGACCUGAUGGUGGUGGUUUAAGUCCAAUCGAUGAGGAUGAUGGAUAUAGUGGUGAUAGAGGUGAAAUUAGGUCUUCUAGUUAGUAUGGAGGAGAAUAUGGGGUUGGUACCACUAGUGGACAUUUCCGUGAUAGAUCAGAGUUUGAUGGAAAUAUGUUUCUUAAACCUAAGAGAGAUAGAAGUGAACCUAGCACUCCAUCAAAAGGAAAAGGCAAAAAGCAUACUUCUAUGGGCUCUUUAUCUGGUAGGAGAUCGAGUUCUAGUAACCUUGGGUAUAGUGAUUCAUCUACUAGCACUGAAGGUUUUUAUCCACCAGAACAACCUUCAUAUUUUCAACCUUCACAUGGUUAUCCACAACCAUAUGGUUAUUAUCCACCAUUUCCUAAUUAUGGUGUGCCAUACCAGCCUCAAAUGCAUCCUCCACCACCAAUGUAUCACCCACCUCCACCUCUCAUGUAUCCUCCUCCUCAAAUAUAUCCUCCACAUCAAUUCUAUGAAAACCAAGGUGAAAAAGUUACUUUUUUUGGAUAUAUUUUUGGACAAAGGCCAAAAGAAUCAAGUCAAGGACGCUCUCAAAGUGAAGGUGAAGGAUUUGAUCUUCCUCGUCAUUCCACUAAUUGGUAAAAACUAAAUCGUACCACUACCAUUAUUUGUAAGGUAUGUUUUUUUAAAGAAAACUUUUGUUAAUGUUCUUAAUUUUGAUGAUAUUAAAACAUUUAAAAUAUAUCUUUAGAUAAAUGAAUGGAGUAGAUUUUAUGAAAAGAUAAUUAAGAAUCGAAGCGUGUUAAACUAUAUAUGAAAAUAGAAUGAGAGUGAGAAUAAGUGGUAGGAAAUAGGAAUAAUUAAUGAGAAUCUAUACAUUUAUCUAUUUUUUUUCAUUUUGCAGCAUAGAAUGUUUAUAUCUUCACCAUCUUCAAAGCUGUCAAGAAAUAUUGAAGACAUCUCUCAGGUAUGAAUUUUCAAUUAUUUUAUCUAUAAAAACUUUCAAACUUAUUAAAUAUGAUAAAUGUUUAAUAUUUCAUUUUUUUACUUUGUUAUUAAUUAAUAUAACAUUCUUAGAAAAUUCGUAAAUAAAUGUAAGAAUAAUUAAUGAUUAUAAAAGUUGUGUUCUCAUAUCAUAUUAAUAAAAGUUUAUAAGUGUUAGAAAACACUCUAAAAAUCAUUAAAAGUGACUUUUUAUAAUUAUAAUUAUUAUGUUUUAUAAUAAGUUGUGUGAAUUUUAAAAAAAUUCACGACUGCGAUACCCGCAGUGACCACAAUAGCAUCCGUUAUGUCCGCAACCACGAUAAACGCGGCCGCGACCAAAAAUGCGGCCGCGACCGCAAUUUAAAUCCCUGAUCCUAUUUACAUGCUCCUAACUAGUCACUUGUAUUUCUACAAGCUCGAGCAUAAACAAACAUACAAAAAUUAAAAUUAAUUAAUAAAAAAAAUAACAAAAAUUUAAAAUUUUGAAAAAAAAACUUGAAAAAUUGUAUGUUACCCCCAUAUUUUAUUUGGCACAUUGUACCUAAUGUGCACCCAAAAGAUAAGAGAAGAGAUUACCAGGUUUUUGCAUUAGAAGUGCCUCAAAAGUAGUUGGGCAGUCCUUCUCAUGUCGGUUUUAGCUCCAAAUUGUAGUGCCGCUUAAUGUGUGGGGUUCCUACACAGAAUAAGCACACAAUUUUUUUUUUGUAAGUAUUAAAACUAAGUUCUAAAUAACAACAGAAAUUAAAAAUUAUCCAAAUUUUUAAAGGAAAUUAAUGGGAAAAGGAAAAAAUCCCUCAUAAGUCUGCAAAAAAGUCAUCUUUGAACUCAUCCAUGUUACCAUCAUGCUUGUUCAAGACAAACCCCGUCUCAUCCCCUCUUGAUAUGGUUGGACUUUCUUGGGUAGGUUGGGUGGGUCACAGAUGGAGAUCCCUCUUUCUUGUGGUCGCAAUGGUGAAAUCGAAUGGUCGACAUCCACCGGGGUGAUCCAAAAUUGUGGCCACUUAAAGUCGGGUAAGCCUGCUCGCUCAUCCAAUGGGACAUUGACCGCCUUCGGACGUACCAACUUCUGAAGUAGAAAUACUGCACAAAAUAUGUUAAAUAGUCAGCGUGCGUAAGUAUACGGGUCAAGUUGUAAUAUAGCUACAAUGAAGUAGGUGAGUACUCCAAGGAUCGUACUCAAGGGAGACGAGCACUAAAUUGAUCCUAACCUAAGCACAAAUAGAACUAAUUAGUACUUUAAAUAAAUUAUAUUAUGACUAAACAAAAAGAAAGAUUUUUGGUAUUUUUAUAACUAAAGAAGAAAAUAAUAUAAAUGGAAAAAUUUUGGGAAAUUUGUUAUGGAAACUGAAUCAGAUCUGAGCAUGGGUGACUAGUUCGCUUCGGUAAUCAUAACUAACUGUUGCUUCGAGUUUCCUGUUCAAUCAACUAGUCGUUACCCUAAUAAGAUCUCUCGAUCUUCCACUAGAAUAAUGAGUCGGCAAGAACUACUUAUCUUUCGACCUCACAGUCCAGACCGGUUCGGGGUUAAGGUGUUCACGGAUAGACCAUACCAAUUUUGGGUUAAUUCCCACCUAGAUGACUUCCUAGGGUCGUCAAGCCUAGGUUUUAAGUUCUUCCUCUCCUAAACAGCUGAUUCGCAAAGAAAACCUUGCACAACAAUCAAUUAAUCAUACCUUCACUCGUUAAUCCCCUAUAAGAGGAUUAGUUUCUCAUGGAUCUAAAAAACAUAAUAAACUUAAUGUAAAAGAUGAAAAUUAAUAACAAAUAAAGAGACAAAGAUUUAAGAGAAUCCUGAAUUGUAUUUAAUUGAAGAACGAAAUCCACAAAGAGUUGAUCGAGUUCCAAAAAUCAGAUCGCUCGACAAAUGCAAAACUGAAAACAACCUAAAGCCUAAAAAAAUGGAAAAACUAAAAACUAAAACUAUAAAGAAAAUUAUACAGUAUGAAAUGCUUUCCAUAACAAGUAUUAAAUGAGCCUAUUUAUAGAGUUAGGGUCGCUGUCAUCUUCAACCCUAGGUCAGUUGAUGCUCUCGUGUUUAAUAUUUGAUUGUACAAACCAAAAUGCCCUUGACUUAUAAGUAUUUCUCGUACAAGAUCAGUCUCGCGACACCCUAGUGCCAGUAUGCUCGUACUCAGGGUUAGGGGUGAGCAUUUGAUCGAAUCGAAUCGAAAAUUUUUGAGUUAAUCAAAUUUUCGAAUCUCAUUUAUCAUCCCAACUUUAUUUGAAGUUUUCUCGAAUCGAGUCGAGUGAGAUGGAAUUCGAAUCGAAUCGAAUCGAAUCGAAUAUAUUUGUUCGAGUUAAAUUUUAAAAAAUAAUUUUGGGUCCUUGAAACCAUUGUCACCCAUCUUAAUAAAUUUUGUUCACAUUAAUCAAAUUUUUUAUUAACUUUCAUCACUUCAUAAUUUAUUUAUUAAUUUUUUAUAUAUUGGUUAGCUUCUUUGCUUGCUUAGUUGUUUCAAUUAUCUUCAGAUUCUUGUCACUAUGUAUUUUAGAAUUAAAAAAUAUAUUAAAUGUAAAAAUAUGAUUUUUUAAUAAAAUUUAUUUUAAAAAUAAAAUGUGAAAUUGAUACCAAUAUAAAAUUUUAACACGAAUAUUUUAUGGCAUAAUUAAUAAUUCAAUUUUAAUAUAAAUAUUCAAUAUGACUAAACAAUUCAAUAAUAUAAAUAAUAUAAAAUGUGAAAUUUAAUUUAAUAAUAUAAAUAGUAGAUAUAAAUAAAAUUAUUACUAUUUAUGUUUAGUGAUUUUUUUUGGAUAAUUUUGAUUUUUUAUUUGAGAGUAAAAGGUGAGAAGUAAAAGUUUAGGGAAAAAUAAAAAGUUUUAAGGAAUAAAAGUUUGAGGGAAAGUAAAUAGGGGGAGUAAAAUUUUGGAAGGAAAAUAUUAAAAAAAAUUAGAGGGGAGAGGGUUUGGGAGAGAUGGGAGGUGGGAUGAGAAGAGAAUAAAAGUUUUAGGGGAAAAGUGGGAGGGAGUAAAAAUUUUGGGGGAAAAUAAAAGGUUUUGAGGGUUUUGGGGAGUAAAAUUUUGAGAAAAAAUAAAUGGGAGAGUAAAAUUUGGUGGGAAAUGGAUUUUGGGUAGAUUGGAGGGUUGGGAGGGGAGGGGAGUAAAAGUUUUGGGGGGAAAGUGGGAAGGAGUAAAAGUUUUGAGGGAAAAGUAAAAAGGUUUGGGAGUUUGGGGUAAAAUAUAAAAUAUUAUAGUUUGAUAUUCGAAUUAUUCGAAUUAUUCGAGUUAUUUGAAUUCGAAAACUCAACUCGAUUCAAACUCGAAAUUCGAAAAAAAUCGAGUUAAUUCGAAUAACUCGAUUAACUCGAAUAACUCGAUUUGUCUAACUCAAAAUUAAAUUUUUUUUUCAAUUUUUUCGAGUCAAAUCGAGUUUUGCUCACCCCUACUCAGGGUAGCUUUAGAGGUGUGUAGCGACAUCCCUUUGUUGUGUCGCGACAUUCUAGGAAGUCUUAAAAUUCUUGCUCUUUGCUCCCUAUGUUGCGACCUCAAACUCCCCGUGUUGCAACACAAGGACCAGUAUUAAAUUGGUACACCCUCUAAUGGUCUUCUAUACAUUCACAAAGUAUAUUAGCUCACCCUUAGGCCCUAUUCGACCCCUAAUGUAAGAACCUGAUUUUAGUUAAAUCAGAACAGUGGUUUUGGAACCACAAAUUUGAGGUCAAAAAAUUAUUUUAAUAUUAUUUUUGGUAUUUAUAACAUGUGAAUAUAUAUGUGUGAAAGUUUCGUAAAGAAAUUUUACUGUUUGAAUGCUUAAUUCAGUAAAAAGGACUAAAUCGCGUAAAGUGUAAAAGUUGUGUUCUAUAAGCUAAAGGUGUCUAAUAGCUAUAGAACAUUAAAAUAAAGGCCCUUAAGUAGUAAAUAGGCCAUUUUUAAGUUAGGGGAUGAUAGUGGAGUGGCAUUUGGUGUAAUUACUAAUGUUUUUAAUGGUUAAAUAAGUAAAUUAGUAAAUAAAUGAUAAAUUAAGUAAAAUUAAGUAAAUGUAUCAUCUCUUUCCAUCUUCUUCAACCGAAUAGCCAAGAAAAAGAAGCCAUUUUUGCUCUUUAGGGUUCGACACUCACAUAGUUUGAUUAAUGUGUGGUUUGAACUCGAUUUUUGAUAAUUUUUACGUUUUUGAGAUCGUUGCUUCGUAUUCUAGCUAGCUCAUUCCUUAAUUUUUGGAUUGGUUGAUUAAUUUGUGAGUUUCCAUUGAUGAUAGCUUGAUGUUUUUGGUUUUUGAUGAAGAAAAAUAAAUAUUUGAUGUUAGAUUAUCAUGUUUUACUAAGUAAUUUUUAACAAAAAUAUCAAAUAGGGAUUCAAUUGAGAAAUGUGUAAAUUGAGUGGUUGAAAUGUGAAAUAAAUGCAAAUUUUGGGAUGGUAGGGACCUCUAAUAAAUUUGGCUAAGAAUGGGUGUAUUGGAAUUUUGUGUAAUUUUUUAUUUUGUGAAAUAGAGACUAAAUUGAAUAAAUGUGAUACUUUAGGGGCUAAAGUGCAAAAAUGUCGAAAUAGAUAUUUUUGAAUGAAAUUGAAUGAAUAGGUGAUUAAAUGAGCUAAAUUUGAAUUCAUAUAGAUCAAGAAAGAAAGAAAUCAGAUUUAGAUCGGGGGAAAUUGAAAGUUGACGAGUAGUCGAUCCGAUUUGUUCAUCGUAUAUGCGAGGUAAGUUCAUAUGAAAUUAAAUACCUUUAAAUUGAUUAUAUAUGUUUAUUUGUUAUUGGAUUGCUUUGGAUGCUAAAUAAUUGAAUAGGAGAAAGUGUCAACAAAAUUACGACGUCCGAAAGCCCCGUACGAACCAUAGGAAUAGUAUAGGAUACGUAUGUUGUGUAAGACCAUGUCUGGGACAUUGGCAUCGCAUAUGAUUUUGUGUAAAACCCUGUCUGGGAUAAUGGCAUCGAUAUAUUAUAACAUGUAAGACCAUAUCUGGGAUAUGACAUUGUACGAGCUUUAUGUACUAUCCGUGUAUGCUUAUCAAUUCUGACCAGUUCAACGAGAAAUGUUGAGAAGUGGAUGAAUAUGAGAAUAAGUAAUCAAUUCAGGUAUGUAUGAUGUUAUAUGAAAAUUAAAAGGUUAAGGUAAGUGAUGCUUAUGAAUCAUUAACGAGUGAAUUAGAUGAGGAAUAUGAUAUUUGUACAUGUGAUUAACCAUGAUUUUUCAUUGAUGAGUUGGUUAUAUUUACUUCAUGUAUUAUAAGUUUAUUUGUAUAUGGCUUACUAAGCUUUUAAAGCUUACUGUGUUUAUUUUUUACUAUUUUAUAGAUUAUCGAAGCUAAUUCGAACUCGGGGAUCGUCGGGAAAUGUCAUCAUACUAUUGAUCAUUUUGUUGGUACUUUUGAAACUUUGUAUAUAUGAUAUAUGGCAUGUAUAGGCUAAUGAACUUUUGGUAUGUUUUGAAUUGUAAUUCUAGCCAUGUGCGGUGGCUUGGAAAUGGUAUAUCUUGUGUGAUGGGUGGUGGCAAUUCGAUUUGUGUGAUGAUAAAAUGUUGUCCAAAUUAGUGCUUAAAUGCUGUCCAAAUUGAUGCUUAAUUGCUGUCCAUUGUUGAGUAUAUUAAUGCUGUCCAAAUUGGUGCUUAAAUGUUGUCCAUUUUUGUACAAAUCAAUGCUAUCCGAAUGUUGUUAUUGCUGUCCAAAUAUUUGUGAAUUAAUGAUGUAUGAAUGUUGCAAAUCAAAGCUGUCCAAAACAAGACAUGUUUCCUAUGAUUACCUAGUGUAAAUGCUUGUUUAAUUGGAGUAUAAAUGCUGCCCAAAACAGGGUAGGUUACCUAUGUUUUGUCUUAUUUUACAUGCUUAUUGUCCAAAUGUGUUGUCAUUUAUGUGGUUUUAUUUAACUAAGCUGUUAAAAUGUGUUGAUUUUCAUUGACCAGUUUUGAUGCUUUUAUGCUGCUAUAUUGUGUAAUUUAUUUGCUAUCCAAAUGGAGGAAAACUUAUUGACUUAAAUGCUAUAUGUUGCUGUUGUUUAUUGAAUUAAUUGCGAAAUGUUAAGUGUUGCUCGAAAAAAAAGUAGGGAUUGUCCGAAUGCUAAAAUUUCGACAUUUAUCUUUUGAUUAUAAUGUGUCCCUGGGUUAGUAUGGUUUGGUAUGCGAAUGUGCAUAGGUUUAUAAAAUAGAAUGAUUAGUAAUUUGUUAAUGAAAUAAAUGUAUGCAAAUGGAUGUUUUGGCAUAUGAUCAGUAUAUGAAAUGUAAUGAUAUAUGCUUGAAUAUAUUUUAAGUAUUCGAAUGACAUGAAUUUGAUGGUAAUGAAAUGGUUGAAUUUCGAAGCAUGAUUUGAAAAUGUGAUUUAAUUAGUAAAGCAUGUUUUUUUAAAUUAGCUAUGUGUUUUAAUUAUGUGUUUUAUUGAUAUGGUUAAGUAUUGAAAUAAAGUUUGAUUAUUUGAAACGAUUAGUAAGGCAUGAUUGAUUUUUGGUUGGCUAUGAGAAUCUAAUAUGCGAAUUUGGUUUAUGUGAAUAGGAGAAUUGAGGCUAUUUGAGUUUAGAAAAUUUUGUAAAGAAGUGUAUAUAACUUUGUGCAUGAAAUGUAAUAAAUGAUUGUGCUUAACUAUGUUUUGUUCGGUAAUCCCUUGUAACCCUAAUCUGACGAUGGAUACGGGUUAGGGGUGUUACAUUUUAUUGGUAUUAGAGCUACGAUUUAGUCAGUUUUAGGACUAACGUAGCGCGUGUGAGUCUAGCUAUACAUGCCAUAUAUAUAAACUGCGAUAGUGUGAUGAUUCCUGACAAUUAAAAUGUGUUUUUGUAUUGUAAAUGGAUCCCGAUUGAGCUGUAGCUGAUAAUGUAGAAAGUAAUACGCCCGCUCCCACUCAAUGAGCAGCACCGGCUGAUUCAAGGCCUAUUAUGAGUAGCCACGAGGGAGAGGCUAAACAAUCUUUUGUCCAAAGGAUGAACGAAUGGUUCAUACAAUAUAUUCAGACAAAUUCAGCUUCCCCAAAUACCUGUGAUACCUCAAGUUACUGAUCCGAUACGAUUGAAUAAGCUUUUGAUUGAUAAAAUUAAAAAAUAUGGGGUCGAAGAGUUCAGAGCUACUAUCGACGAUGAUUCUAAACGAGCUGAAUUUUAGCUGGCUUGAUAAUACAAUUCGAGUGUUCGAUGAAUUAUCCUGUACUCCUAAUGUAUGUAUCAAAUGUGCUGUAUCUUUGUUAAGGGACACUGCAUAUCAUUGGUUUAAUACAUUAGUAUCAGUGGUUCCAAAAGAAUGGGUUACUUGGAAGUUCUUUCAGAAUGAAUUCGGAAAGAAACAUAUCAGUCAGAGGUUCAUAGAUAAAAAACGCAAAGAAUUCAUUGAGUUAAAACAAGGUCGCAUGACAGUGACAGAAUAUGAGUGGGAAUUUGUGAGACUUAGUAGAUAUUCUUGAGAAUGUGUUUCAACUGAAGCUAUAAUGUGUAAAAGAUUUGAAGACAGUUUGAAUAAAGACAUUAAGCUGUUAGUUGGGAUUCUGGAAAUAAAAGAGUUUGUGGUACUCGUCGAACGAGCAUGUUAAGCUGAAGAACUUGGGAAAGAGAAAAGAAAAGCUGACUUUGAAGCUAGAGAUUCGAUAAAAGAUCAUCGAGUAAGUCAUUUCAGUUAGCAUCAAAGAAGUUUCGAGAUAAUUUUAGCAAUUUAAAGGCUACUGUGGGUUAUUCUAGAAGAGACCGAGACAGACCACCUGUAAGUUCGAAAGCUACUUCAAUAGCUAGUGUUGGAAAUGUUAGACUAAAUCAACUUGAGUGUAAACAUUGCGGUAAACGACAUCCCAACAAUUGUAGAUUGAAUGAACGAGCUUGUUUCGAAUGUGGAUCAUUAGAUCAUUUGUGAAUGUCUUGAGUUGGCCAAGCAAGAUACAGUGCAGAAUACAAGGCCGAGUAACACUGCAGUUAGAGGUAGACCACUGCAGUUAGAGGUAGAACACCCAGAAACAUGGGUAAUGUGAGUGGUAGCCAGAGGGGAACUAAAGACACUGCUGUUAGAUCUGAAUCCCGCGUACCUGCUAGAGCUUAUGCUAUUGGCGCUCGUGAAGAAGCUUCGUCUCCAGAUGUUAUUACCAAUACUUUUACUCUCUAUGAUAUUAGUGUUGUUGCAUUGAUUGAUCCAGGGUCAACUCAUUCUUAUGUAUGUGAGACUUUAGUAUCCAGUAAGACUUUGCUUGUAGAGUCUACUGAAUUUGUAAUUAGAUUAUCGAACCCCUUAGGCAGGUGUGUUUUGGUUGAUAAAGUAUGCAAGAACUGUUUGUUGAUGACUCGAGAUUUCUAUUUUCCGGCCGAUCUGAUGUUGUUGCCAUUCAACAAAUUUGAUAUAAUUAUGGGUAUGGAUUGGCUAACGUUGCAUGAUGCAAUUGUGAAUUGCAAACGAAAGACGAUCGAUUUGAGAUGUCAGUAUAAUGAGAUUAUCUGGAUUGAGUCAGAUGAUUUGAAUGGUUUACCGACAGUGAUUUCUUCAAUGUUAGCUCGAAAAUAUGUGAGAAAGGGUUGUGAAGCUUACUUUGCCUAUGUACUCGACUCUAAAGUGACUAAAAAGAAGAUUGAAUCAGUACCCGUUGUGUGUGAAUACCCGAAAGUGUUUCCUGAAGAGUUACUAGGUUUGCCACCGAUCAUAGAAGUUUAAUUUGGUAUUGAGUUAGUGCUGGGAACAACUUCGAUAUCAAUAGCUCCGUACAGAAUAGAACCGACUGAAUUAAAAGAGUUGAAAGCUCAGUUGCAAGAGUUGACAUAUAGAGGUUUCGCACGACCGAGUUUUUCUCCCUAGGGUGCACUGAUUUUGUUUGUGAAAAAGAAAGACAGAACUAUGAGAAUGUGCAUCGAUUAUCGAGAGUGUAAUAAAGUGACCAUCAAGAAUAAAUACUCUGCCACGAAUAGACGAUUUGUUUGAUCAGCUGAAAGGGGCUAUGGUGUUUUCUAAUAUAGAUUUGAGAUUGGGUUAUUAUCAGCUACGAGUUAAAGACUCAGAUGUGCCAAAAAUUACUUUCCGAACGAGGUACGGGCAUUAUGAAUUUCUAGUUAUGCCAUUCGGACUAACGAAUGCACCUGCUAUUUUUAUGGACCUAAUGAAUCAGAUCUUCAAACCGUUUUUGGAUAGAUUUUUUGUUGUGUUUAUAGAUGACAUAUUGAUUUAUUCCUGUGAUGAAUCUAAGCAUGCUGAACAUUUGAGAAUAGUGCUAAAAAAUUUUGUGAGAUAAACAACUAUUUGCAAAGUUCAGUAAAUGUGAGUUCUAGUUGUAAGAAGCUAGUUUUCUAGGGCAUAUUGUGUCAGCAUCGAGUAUUCGAGUAUAUUCGAGUAAGAUUUCAGCAAUAUUGGAUUGGAAGCCUUCAAAAAAUGUAUCCAAAGUUUGAAGCUUUCUGAGACUCACCGGUUAUUAUAGACGAUUCGUAAAAGGUUUCUCAAUGAUUGCAACCCCGAUGACGAGACUACUACAGAAAGAUGUUAAGUUCGAGUGGUCAAAUAAGUGUCAGAGAAGUUUUGAUCAGUUGAAAGCCUUAUUGACUAAAGCUCCAGUGUUUGUUCAGCCAGAGUCGGGUAAAGAAUUCGUAAUCUAUUGUGAUGCAUCAUUGAAUGGACUAGGUUGUGUAUUGAUGCAGGAAGGCAAAGUCAUAGGUUAUGCCUCGGGACAAUUAAAGCCGCAUGAAAAGAAUUACCCGACUCACGAUUUGGAAUUAGCAGCUAUCGUGUUAUCAUUGAAGAUUUGGAGUCACUAUCUGUUCGGUGAGAAAUGUCAUGUUUAUUCUGAUCACAAGAGCUUAAAAUAUUUGAUGACUUAGAAAGUUCUAAAUCUACGACAGCGAAGAUGGUUGGAAUUGUUAAAAGAUUACGAGCUAGUGAUUGACUACUAUCCGGGAAAGGCUAAUGUUGUUGUUUAUGCUUUAAGUAAAAAAUCUUUAUUUGCUCUGCGUGCAAUGAAUACUUAGUUAGCUCUAUCUGAUGAUGGCUCAAUUAUAGCUGAGUUGCAAGCAAUACCGUUAUUUAUGCAGCAGAUCUGCGAAGCUUAGAAAGUUGAAAAUGAAUUGUUAGCGAAACGGGCUCAAUGUGAUUUGAAUUCUGAUUCAGAGUUUUGAGUUGAUACUAAUGAUUGUUUAAGAUUCAGAGGCCGAAUAUGUGUACUGAGAGAUUCAGAGUUGAUUCGGAUGAUUUUAAAUGAAGCUCAGAGCAGUUGGUUAUCUGUUCAUCCGUGAAGCACGAAAAUGUAUAACGAUCUGAAACAACUUUACUGGUGGUCUGGUAUGAAACGUGACAUCAUAGAGUUCAUUUCUAAAUGUUUGAUCUGUCAGCAAUUUAAAGUUGAGCAUCAGGUACCGUCUGGUUUAUUGCAACCGAUUAUGAUUCCUGAGUGGAAAUGAGAUAGAGUGACUAUGGAUUUUGUGUCGGGAUUGCCCCUAUCUCUGAAAAAGAAAGAUGCGAUUUAGGUUAUAGUUGAAAAAUUGACGAAAUCAGCUCAUUUCACUCCAGUAUGAACGGACUAUUCGCUUGAUAAGUUAGUUGAGUUGUAUAUUUCUGAGGUUGUGAGAUUGCACGGAGUACCUAUUUCUAUUUUUUCGGAUAGUGAUACGAGGUUCACAUCACGGGUUUGGAAAAAAACUACAAGAUGCACUAGGUACAAAGCUACACUUCAAUACCACUUGUCAUCCACAGACGGAUGGAGAAUCUGAACGAGUUAUUCAGAUACUUGAGGAUAUGUUACGAUGCUGUGUUCUUGAGUUUGAAGGUACGUGGGAAAAGUAUUUGCCGUUGAUUGAAUUUGCGUAUAAUAACAAUUAUCAAUCAAGUAUUAAAAUAGCACCUUACAAAGCCUUAUACGAUCGCAAAUACCGAACACCUCUAUAUUGGACUGAACUUAGUGAGAAUAAGAUUCACGGGGUCGAUUUGAUUAAAGAGACUGAACAGAAAGUGAAAGUGAUUCGUGAUAGUGUGAAAGCAGUGUCAGAUCGUCAGAAAUCCUACGCACACUUGAAACGAAAAGAUAUUGAGUUUUAGAUUUGGGAUCGAGUUUUUUUUAAAGUAUCUCCAUGAAAAAAAUACUUAGAUUUGGCAGAAAAGGCAAGUUAAGUCCGAGAUUCAUCGGGCCGCAUGACAUUAUCGAGCGAAUCGGGCCGAUUGCUUAUAGAUUGUUGUUGCCACUAGAAUUAGAAAAGAUUCAUAAUGUAUUUCAUGUAUUGAUUCUUCAAUGAUAUCAAUCUAAUCCCUCACAUGUAAUUUCCCCAUCUAAGUUUGAGAUUCAGUCUGAUAUGUCAUACGAAAAAGAACCGAUCCGACUUUUAGAUCGCGAAAUCAAAGAACUGAGGAAUAAGAAAACUUCUUUCGUGAAAGUAUUAUGGCAUCGACACGGGGUCGAAAAAGCUACUUGGGAAACCGAGGAUGCUAUGAGAGAGUAAUACCUGAACCUAUUCACUGGUAAGAUUUUUGGGGACGAAAAUCCCUAAGGGGGAGAGUUGUAACAACCCGAUUUUAGUUAAAUCAGAACAGUGAAAAUCCCUAAGGGGGAGAGUUGUAACAACCCGAUUUUAGUUAAAUCAGAACAGUGGUUUUAGAACCAAAAAUCCGAGGUCAAAAAUUAUUUUAAUAUUAUUUUUGGUAUUUGUAACAUGUGAAUAUAUAUGUGUGAAGGUUUUGUAAAGAAAUUUUACUGUUUGAAUGCUUAAUUCAAUAAAAAGGACUAAAUCACGUAAAGUGUAAAAGUUGUGUUCUAUAAGCUAAAUGUUUCUAAUAGCUAUAGAACGUUAAAGUAAAGGCCCUUAAGUAGUAAAUAGGCCAUUUUUAAGUUAGUGGAUGAUAGUGGAGUGGCAUUUGGUGUAAUUACUAAUUUUUUAAUGGUUAAAUAAGUAAAUUAGUAAAUAAAUGAUAAAUUAAGUAAAAUUAAGUAAAUGUAUCAUCUUUUUCCAUCUUCUUCAACCGAAUAGCCAAGAAAAAGAAGCCAUUUUUGCUCUUUAGGGUUCGGCACUCACAUAGUUUGAUCAAGGUAUGGUUUGAGCUCAAUUUUUGAUAAUUUUUACGUUUUUGAGAUCGUUUCUUCGUAUUCUACCUAGCCCAUGCCUUAAUUUUUGGAUUGGUUGAUGAAUUUGUGAGUUGCCAUUAAUGAUAGCUUGAUGUUUUUGUUGUUUGAUGAUGAAAAUAAAUAUUUGAUGUUAGAUUAUCAUAUUUUACUAAGUAAUUUUUGACAAAAAUGUCAAAUAGGGAUUAAAUUGAGAAAUGUGUAAAUUGAGUGGUUGAAAUGUGAAAUAAAUGCAAAGGGCUGCUAAGGGCCUUUAAUAAAUUCGGCUAAGCUUGGGUGUAUUGAAAUUUUGUGUAAUUUGUGAUUUUGUGAAAUAGGGACUAAAUUAAAUGAAUGUGAAACUUUAGGGGCUAAAGUGAAAAAAUAUCCAAAUAGAAUUUUUGAAUAAAAUUGAAUGAAUAGGUGAUUAAAUGAGCUAAAUUUGAAUUCAUAUAGCUUAAGAAAGAAAGGAAUCGAAUUUAGAUCGGGGGAAAUUGAAAGUUGACGAGUAGUCGAUCCGAUCUGUUCAUCGUAUAUACGAGGUAAGUUCAUAUGAAAAUAAAUACCUUUUAAUUGAUUUAUAUAUGUUUAUUUGUUAUUGAAUUGCUUUGAAUGCUGAAUAUUUGAAUAUGAGAAAGUAUCAGCCGAAUUACGACGUCCGAAAGCCUCGUACGAACCAUAGGAAUAGUAUAGGAUACGUAUGUCAUGACAUUAGGAUUUCGAGGUGUGAUUUCAUGUAAGACCAUGUCUGGGACUUUGGCAUCGUUUAUGAUUUCCUGUAAGAUCCUGUCUGGGAUAGUGGCACUGAUAUAUUAUAACAUGUGAGACCAUAUUUGGGAUAUGGCAUUGUACGAGCUUUAUGUACUAUCCGUGUAUGCUUAUCAAUUCUGAAUGGUUCAACAGGCAGUGUUGAGAAGUGGAUGAAUAUGAGAAUGAGUAAUCAAUUCAGGUAUGUAUGAUGUUAUAUGAAAAUUAAAAGGUUAAGGUAAGUGAUGCUUAUGAAUCAUUAACGAGUGAAUUAGAUGAGGAAUGUGAUAUUUGUACAUGUGAUUAGCCAUGAUUUUUCAUUGAUGAGUUGGUUAUAUUUACUUCAUGUAUUAUAAGUUUAUUUGUAUAUGGCUUACUAAGCUUUUAAAGCUUACUGUGUUUAUUUUUCACUAUUUUAUAGAUUAUCGAAGCUAGUUCGAACUCGGGGAUCGUCAGGAAACGUCAUCACACUAUCGAUCAUCUUGUUGGUACUUUUGAAGUUUUGUAUAUAUGGUAUAUGACAUGUAUAGGCUAAUGAACUUUUGGUAUGUUUUGAAUUGUAAUUUUAGCCAUGUGAGUUGGCUUGGAAAUGGAAUAUCUUGUGUGAUGGGUGGUGGCAAUUCGGUUUGUGUGAUGAUAAGAUGUUGUCCAAAUUAGUGCUUAAAUGCUGUCCAUUUUUUAGCAUAUUAAUGCUAUCCAAAUUGAUGCUUAAUUGCUGUCCAUUGUUGAGUAUAUUAAUGCUGUCCAAAUUGGUGCUUAAAUGCUGUCCAUUUUUGUACAAAUCAAUGGUGUCCGAAUGUUGUUAUUACUGUCCAAAUAUUUGUGAAUUAAUGAUGUAUGAAUGUUGCAAAUCAAAGCUGUCCAAAAUAGGACAUGUUUCCUAUGAUUACCUAGUGUAAAUGCUUCUUUAAUUGGAGUAUAAAUGUUGUCCAAAACAGGGUAGGUUACCUAUGUUUUGUCUUAUUUUACAUGCUUAUUGUCCAAAUGUGUCGUCAUUUAUGUUGUUUUAUUUAACUAAGCUGUUAAAAUGUGUUGAUUUUCACUGACCAGUUGUGAUGCUGUUAUGCUACUAUAUUGUGUAAUUUAGUUGCUAUCCAAAUGGAGGAAAACUUAUUGACUUAAAUGUUAUAUGUUGCUGUUGUUUAUUGAAUUAACUGCGAAAUGUGAAGUGCUGCUCAAAAAAAAAAUAGGGAUUGUCUGAAUGCUGAAAUUUUGACAUUUAUCUUUUGAUUAUAAUGUGUCGCUGAGUUAGUAUGGUUUGGUAUGUGAAUGUGCAUAGGUUUAUAAAAUAGAAUGAUUAGUAAUUUGUUAAUGAAAUAAAUGUAUGCAAAUGGAUGUUUUGGCAUAUGCUUAGUAUAUGAAAUGUAAUGAUAUAUGCUUGAAUAUAUUUUAAGUAUUCGAAUGACAUGAAUUUGAUGGUAAUGAAAUGGUUGAAUUUCGAAGCAUGACUUGAAAAUGUGAUUUAAUUAGUAAAGCAUGUUUGUUUAAAUUAUCUAUGUGUUUUAAUUAUGUGUUUUAUUGAUAUGUUUAAAUAUUGAAAUCAAGUUCGAUUAUGUGAAAUGAUUUGUAAGGCAUGAUUGAUUUUUGGUUGGCUAUGAGAAUCUAAUACGCGAAUUUGGUUUAUGUUAAUAGGAGAAUUGAGGCUAUUUGAGUUUAGAAAAUUUUGUAAAGAAGUGGAUAUAACUUUGUGCAUGAAAUGUAAUAAAUAAUUGUGCUUAACUAUGUUUUGUUCGAUAAUGCCUCGUAACCCUAAUUCGACGAAGGAUACAGGUUAGGGGUGUUACACCUAAGUUCAAUAAAAGACUCAGAUUACACUUUUUGUUGAACGUAAUCAAAACUAGGAAAACUUAAUUAAAAUAUAGUAAAAUUUUUUAUAUUCAAGCUCUUCAAGACACAGGCUGAGACAUGGCCAUGUGUCUCAAGUCAGUGAGUUACACGAGCAAAGACAAGGGCUGGGAGACGGCCGUGUGUCCCAGUUUCAAAAGUCACACGGUCAUGUGUCUCCUGUUUUUAGGUUUUUUUUUAGAUUUCAACCAGACUUCUAAAAUUAUUUUAAAUUAGCCCCUGUUAGUUCUUAAAUCAUUUUUAGGGACCUAUAAACUCAUAUUUAGGACUGUAUCGGUAAUUUUUACUGUGAUCUGAAUGAAAUUUCCUACAUUUUAAUCAUGAUUGAUUAAUUGAUUGAAUUGAUAGUAAUGCCUGUGACCCUAAUCCAUCGAUGGGGAGGGGUUAGGGUUGUUACAAAUUUCGGUGUCAAUGGUUGCAUUCAGGUAUUUUUACAUUUCGAACCCUACUACACUGGCUAUUGAAGUCAUCGGUGGUCUCACAUUAUUCUAUUUCACUUUAUCUUUUUCAUAAAACCUUAGUGGCCCUGGAAAUAACUAAUUACUUCUUUCAUUUAUCAUUGGCGGAAAAGUAGAAUAUGUUUUGGAUACACUCCAUUUAUUGAAGUCUCAAACUCAUGUCUCAUUAUGUUUCUUGUGAUAACAAAUUUCUUCCUUUUUCUGAGCUCGGUCUAAAAAUAAUUACAAACUUACAAAAUUUCAUUGCAUUGACAAGUAUUUUAAUCUCAUCAUUCAAUUAAUCUCUAAAAUAAGUACAUAAUUUCUCUUCAAUCAAUACCAUCUUAUUAACAUACUUACCAAGUUUAACUACUCUCACCCGAAAUCCGCAACUGAUCUGUUUCCCAGCUUCAACUCAAGAAAUUCAUUUUUCUUCUUGUCUAAAUAUUUUUUGCUGACAUAAUUCUUUCGAAAGUAAAUUCAAAAGAAAUCCUAGUUAAUCCGUUCUUUUGAUAUCAAAGUAAUUAAAGUCGAUUACCAGUGCAUAACCUCUUCUUUUAACAAUGACAACGCACAUCUCAGAUAAUCUUCGGGAAGAUAUAAUAUUUCAUCUAGAACUCUCUGUGAGUUUUUAACCAAUACGCGGCUCUGGCCAAAUUAUUACUCAUUCUACCGGUAAACUCUUCGACUCCACACUUUUAGAGUUAAUCAACAGAAAUCCUGUGAAUAUUUCGUCGUAUAGGACUUUGAGGAUGAGGGGGUGGAGUUCGUAAAGCCACAAAAAUUGAUUUCCAUAUACACAAUAAACAUAUUAUUCAUUAUUAGUAAAAGUACUGUGAACAUUUUCUCUAGACUUCUUAAUUUCAGCACAUUAUGAGUAGCCGCUUGAUUGGAGGCUUGAGCACUACACUCUACUUUAUUGGAAUUAGCUCGGUUGGAAGACAUCUUUUUUCUAUGUGAAAAACAAAAUCCACUAGAGUCAGGUUACAUCACACUAUCACAUGCUAUGAAAUAUCAUGUAUAUGUUAUGAAAUGGCAUGUAGUUCUAGACUCCAUACAUGCUACGCUCAGCUCGAAACUGUUUAAACCGUAGCUUUGAUACUACUAAAUGUAAGACCCCUAACCCGUAUUCGUUGCCAGAUUAGGGUUAUGGAGCAUUACUGCACUAAACAAAACAUUCAGCAUCAAAACAAAAAUAAUUAUGCAAUUCAAGAAUUAUCAUUGAAUAACUCAAUUUAAUUUAAGAUAAUACACUUACAGGCCUUAAAUCGAGCUUUUGGGGUCUUAAAAAACAAUUUGAGAACAUUCAUGGGCCAUUUUGAAAUAAAAUACAAAAAUUUAGGAAAACAUGAAAAGUUGGGAAAGUAUGAGUCACACGACUGUGUUGCCAGGCUGUGUAACUCACUGAACCACGCGUACAAACUUGCACUUUAAAAAUCAACAGACACACGGCUGUGUGAGUAGACCGUGUGCAACACACGGCCAUGUUACAACCUAUGUCCCAACUUGUGUGUCCCAAAAUGUACCUUAAAAAUCAAGUUUACUGAAUAUGCUUACUUGAGACACAAACAUACCAUUCACCAAACUUUAAACCUAUUUAAAACACACCUAGACAAGACCUAGACAUGCCAAAAUCACACAUAAAACAUACAAUUUUAAAAUAAAAAAAAAUGUGUUUUGUUUAUUUUAUUUACCUUAAGAUUCUUUUUUAAUUAUUAUAAUAAAAUUAUAACAUAUAAAUUAAUUAAACAAAGCACUAACCAUGCAUGCCACUAAGAUUUGGCACAAUUUUCAUAAAAACCCUAGCAACCAUACUAUUUUAACCUUUUAAUACCUCUAACUUAUAGGAACAAACUUUUUCAACCUUUUCAAAUUAGCCUUUUUUGAUUAAUUAACUAGCUAAACAUUAAAAUUUCUUAACAAAAAUUUAAUAUGACCCUAAUAACACUCCGUAAGUAUUUCAUAAAAUAUUUAAGGGCUUGGUUUAUAGAAACAAGGUCCUGAGACCUUCUUUUUUGAAGCCACUUGACUUUAAGGAUAUACCACUUGAACCUAAUCAUUUAUUCAAAUAACUUAAAUUAUCACAUCAAAAUUUAUUAUAUUAAUAUAUUUGACUCGUAAAUAAUAAAUAAUAAUAUUUACGGACUUGCUCGUCAAAUUUGUGGUCUUGAAACCAUUGUUUCUGAUACCACUGAAAUACGAGUUAUUACAUGCCCUCUUAUGAUAUCCUUGAUUCCUUUGAGUUAAAUUCGCUUACUCAAUACAAUCCUAUUUUAUCUCAUUGUCACCAUUGUGUUUUAUUAAUAAUUAAUAUGAUCACUGUCAACAAAUAAAUGUGGUAAAUUAUUUGUUCGAGAACAAGCAACCUGUGGCCAUGUUUUAUAUUAAUCAAUCCAUACAAUGCCAAUGAGAGGAUAUCGUUAACUCUUUAAUCGAGUUAUGAAUUCCAUUAUUUCAAGUAAAUUCAUGCCAUACACAAGUCAUGUACCCAACUUACCGGAUAUGGGUUCAAUCAUCUUUAAAGCAUAAGCCUUUAUUGAGAAAUGUGUCCAUAUUGUAGUAAACAUGCGAUUAUUUUCUAUGUAUUUUAAUGAUGAAUAAAUAAAUUUCACAUUUCAUUGUUAUGUCUUUUGCAUUUUUGUCUUUCAUAUUUUGCAUGUAUAGCGAAAUUGUGACAAGCAAAUAUUAGCUCAUUGAUCGUUUAAGUUCAAACUAAUGAUAAGUGGUAUUAUAAGAACAUUUACAUUGCAAGAAAGAGAACUUACUUCAAUAGAUAAUAUAAACGAGUCCCUAAUCCCGUAAAAUAAUCGAAGUGAGCAUUUGAUUCAAAUACUAAAAAGGAUUAUUAUGUCGUCUACAAUUCCAAUUGAGGAGAUGGCUAGUAUUGGCUAUCAAAGUAGUUGACUCCACGGGUAGAGACAUAGAUGUAUUCAUUGGUAGAAUGAUACAUUGGACUGGACCCAAGAUGAAUUAAUUCUAAAUCCGUUUAUGAAUUAAUUCACUUGUGACAUUCGUGGUGUGAUUUACCUAAAUCAUGAGUUAGUUACUGACCAUGCGUAUGUAACUCAUAUGCUUUGAUAUAAGUAGAAGCUUAUGCUUUAAAGAUGAUCUAGCCGAUAGCCGGUAUGUUGGGUAUAUGACUUGUGUAUGACAUGACUUUACUAGCAACGGUGGAAUUCAUAGCUCAAUUAAAUAGUUAACGAUAUCCUCUCAUUGUCAUUGUGUGGAUUGAUAAAUAUGGAACGUGGUCACGGGUUGUUUGUUCUUGAAAGAGUAAUUUAAUCAUAGUCAUUUGUUGACAGUGACCACAUUUAUCAUUAAGAAGACACAAUAGUGACAAUGAGAUAAAAUAUGAUUGUACUGAGUGAACGGAUUUAACUCAAAGAAUCAAGGAUAUCAUAUGAGGGUAACACACACAUGACAAGACUACUAGAUAAAGCAGUUGGAUGAAUUGCUUUCACAAAGAAUAUAUUUAACACCCUAAAAUAGGGCCUAAGAGUUUUAAGGACAUUUUAGAGAUUUUAGCCUUAGAGUGUUUGGAAUUUUGUGACAUGAGUUAUCGGUAACGUUUUUUACUAUGGUUUUUAGAAAAUUAAAUCAAUUUUUGAAAAAAAAGAGUUUUAAAUACCUUCAAUUUUGAAAAUUGGACUGAUUUGUAAAAGAGUCAAAAUUGUGAGUUUUUAAGAGGUAAUUAAACAUAAUUUUAAAAAUCACCCUAAUAUCAUCCCUCGCCUUGAGAACAUAUCUUAGACUUAUGUUUUUGAUUGCUUGUGGUGAGUUCUUAGUUGAUUUUUGAAUGUAUUAUUGUGUGAAUUAUUGUGUUGAAGCAUCAUAUUCAUUAGAACCUUCUACGAGUAGAGAUAAAGGUAAGGAAAAACUAGUUUGAAUUUUUGUCUUUUCGGCAAAAGUGUAUUGGUGAGUGUUUGGAAUAAUUGCUUGUGAACAUGAUUCAAUACGUUAUUUGGGAAUUUAGUAAUAGCCUAAACCCCUACUCUAAAUUCUGAGUGUAAGCUUUCUCAUACCUAUGCUAUCUUGUGAGCAAUGUGCUUAUGUGUUUAUGAAUAUGUGAAUUGAGAUGAGAUGCUAUAACAUGUAAUAUGUGGUUAUGAUAACCAUUGUGAAAGUGAAAAUGUGUACAUGUUAUGUAUAUGGUAAAUGUUAGUGAAAGUGUUUUGCUAAAUAUGCAAAUAUGCAGUGGUAGUGCAUGGAUAAUCAGUAAGUGAUAUGUGUUUGAUUUUAGAUAUUUUGGCCAUGUGAUCUUAAAACCGUUGGAUAUAGUUGGCAUGCCAUAAGAUUUUGAGUAUUCACCUAUAUGUACAGUGAUUUUGGGCGUUGAGGCCCUAGGACACGUGGAAGGGAUAAGGGAAUGUGAGCUAAGCUCUAUUCAAUGGGACAUGCGAGGGGAAAUAAGGAGAGUGUUAGGUUUAUACUUCACUUUUGGGACAUGUUUGACUGUAUGGGUCUAUGUGGUGUAUUGGAGAUCCAUGUAUCCAAUGAGUGAUGAUAGAGCUUAUUUUUAUGUUUCAUAGCUCAAGUGUCAAAUUAUCUUAAAUUAUGAAUAUGUGUGUAUUGUGAUAUGUGUUUAUAUGACAUGCAACCAUUAUGCAACUGAUCUAUAAAGAUGUUUUUGAGUAUUGGAUAUAUGCUUAAAUGUUAUGUGAUUAUUUGAGUAUUGUGAUAUCUACUUGUAUGUUAGGUGAUUAUAUGUGUAAAUUGAUAUAUGCUUUAAAGUGAACCUGUUUACCAUGUAAAAGAACUAGAAAAUAAUGCACAAGUAAGUAUAAUAUAACAAUAGAGUUAGAACUGUUGAGGUUGUGCUAUACAGUUGUUUCAUUAAUGCUUGAUGAAUUGUUUGCAUGGUAGUUGUUCUAGGCAUUCACUGAGCUUGUUAACUUUACCCACUCUUUUUUUAAAACCCUUGCAGAGUAGUGAAGUGUCGGUGUGAGCGGUGUGGUUUCUGAAAGGCGAUCCAAGAAACUCUAUUUGUUAUUUCAUAGGUGUUCUAUAUUUAUUUACAUUUUGGGGAAUGAUGCAAUGUGGUAAACUUGUUUAUAGCCAUGUUAACUUCUAUACUCUUUGCUGGUUUUUGGAUUUGGUUUAUAAGGAUUACAUGUUAUUGUCAUGCUUGGUUUCAUGAACUUUAGGAUGGAUUGAUGUUACUUGCUCGAACACGAUUUUGUGAUAUUGAACUAUUAAUUAGGUCAUUGAAUGAUUAUUGGUUGAAGUAAUUGAUGUAUGAUGUUUAGGAACUAAAUAGGAAUAGAUUAAUUGCAUAUGUAUAUUGCAUUUUUUAGGUCUGGAGUAGAGGAAGUCAGAAUAUAGAUUUGGUAUCGAUAACUUUGCUCAAGUAUCAAUAAUCGGGGUAAAUUUAUCAGUAUUUCAUGAUAGGUAUUGAUAAUUUUUGAGACUUUGGUUUUUUAACAAAAAAUAGAAUGCAAAUUUGGUAUCGUUUUUCCUGGUGGGAUCGAUACCACUUAAAGAAAAUAUCGAUAUCUUAGUGUCAUUACUGAUACCUACGAACUUGGUUUGAGAAUUUUGCUGAACGGACCUUAUGCAUAUUUUAAUAUGUUUAUAAGACUAAUCAAUGUAAGUUUAGCAUGUGAUAAUGAUAACUAACUAGUAUGAUUGACUUAAGACCUAUGCGAAUAAUAAAUUGAUGGAUGUUUUGUUAGACUGAGCUUUUACUUGUUGGUUAUGACAUGAGACGAUCGUGUGGCAUCCUGAUAUUUAGGCUUGGCGACCAAGCUGGGUAUAGGAUGUUACAAUAUAUAGAAUAAGAAGUCUUCAACCAUGGUACUUCUUAUGGGCUGACUCCAUGAUUAAGUAAUUGUGAAUUAUCGAAAUGAUGCUUUUGGACAAAAUUACAAUUAUAGAGUCUAAUUGUAUAUGUUCGAUUGGUUCCUCCGCUAGCUCAACAAAAGCUCAAUCGAACUACAUUUGAAUCAAAAAGAAAUUCUACGAAUUUAGAAAUAAUUUAAUUGAGUUGAUUUAUUCAAUGUGGGAUUAAAUUGGGUGGACAUAACAAUUUUUCAACUAGAGAACUUGAUUCAAGAAUUUUCUUGAAAAUUUAAUUUGGAAAACCUAAGUGAUUUUUGAGAAAAUUAAUUUUGAUCAAGUAGGUUUUGACAGCUGCGACGAUGGCAUUCUGGUGGCCAAAAAAUCGUCAGCGGUAGUGGGUCUUCAGUGGUUGAGUAGUGGAAUUAUACUCCUAGUGGAGCUUUACCAGAGAAUAUAAUUCCAAAUUAACUAUUCCAAAAAUAAUAUUAUUUUAAUAUAUUUAAUAUUAAAUUAAAUUUAAUACUUAUCUUAAUAGUAUUUUAUUAAUUUAAUAUUUAAAUUGUAGAUAAAUAUUUUAUUAAUUUAGUGAAAGUGAUUAAGUUUAAUCAUAUUUGAACUCUCUAAACUCUCCUUACAUAAAGAGAGCCUUGGGUCAUUAUUUACAAACACUUGAAUUCAAGAGAAAGUUGUAGAGAGCAAAUUCUCCAAAUAAAUUAUUUCAGAAAAUUUCUAGGUAUGUUUUUCUUAUUUACAACUUGGGCAAAAAGUUUAGAGAAAUUCCAAAAUUACUCCACUAGUAUUUUUAUAAAAAUAUUUCUAAAUCGAAGCGAGCCCACACUCGAUAGACGUGAGCUUGAAGAUAGCAGAGAAGACUACUCGGUCAAAGCGUUCAUCCUACACGAAUCGAAAAGGUUUUUCCCUAAAUUUAUUUUCUACUGCAUUUUUCAAACUCGAUUUUCUAACGGUCUCCACUUAUAUCAAAGCACAUGAGUUACAUAAGCAUGGUCAGUGACUAACUCAGGAUAUAGGUAAAUCAUACCAUGAACGUCACAAGUGAAUUAAUUCACAAAUGGAUUCAAAAUUAUUUCAUCUUGCUUCCAGUCCAAUGUAUCAUUCUUCAAAUGAAUAAAUCUAUGUCUUUACCCAUGGAGUCAACUACUUCGAUAUCCAAGACUAGCCAUCUCCCUAAUUGAAAUUGUAGAUGAUAUAAUAAUCCUUCAAGGUAUUUGAAUCAAAUGCUCACUGUGAUUCUUUUACGGGAUUACGAACUCAUUUAGAUUAUCUACUGAAUUAAGUUGUCUUUCUCUCAAUGUAAAUGUUCUUACAGUGGCACUUAUCAUUAGUUUGAACUUAGAAAAUCAAUGAGCUAAUGUUUGCUUGUCGUAGUUUCGCUAUGUAUGCAAAACAUGAAAGACAAAAACACAAAAGACAUAAUAGUGAAAUUAACUUUAGUGGCCGUCCUCUUUUCCUCACCAUUUUUCGAUCUCUAUCAUUCUCUUUAGUAAAUCUUAUUUCUCUUCUUUUCAAGUAGUUCUUAAAUUAUUUUGAUAUCAUACUUUUUUACUCUCCUUUCCAAAUAACUAUUUUCUCUAGACUCGAUUUCCCUCCGAUUCAAGAUCUUGGUGAUUCAUCAAUCCUCCUAAUUCAAUCAAGAUAGAGUAAGUAUAGUGUUUGAAUGAAAACCACUAUUUCUCUCUUCAUUUCAUCCUUUAGGCCGCAUGUAUAAGAGAUUAUAGUGUAUUUUUCCUUCAAGUGUUAACAUAUUGUAUUCCACUUUUGAUGAAAGACUGAUCGAUACCAUCCCGAAAAGCCCCUAACUUUGAAAAUGAAAGUACCAUUACGAUCGAUUAUUUACAAGAAUUGGUAUUCCAUUGGUUAAGAUCCGAGUGGGGGCAUUCUUUAUAGUUGUGUUUCGCAUCAGAUCUACUAUUAGGUGUGGGUCUAAUCUAAAAAAAAUUGAUGCACAUUAAUUCUAAUGUUUAAAUAAAUAUUAUAAUUGGAUUGUGUUUUAUUUGAAUACUUAAAGUAUUAAAAAAAGGGAGAUUAAACCUAUCGAUAUGUAUCAUACCAAGUAAGCGACUUCAAACCAACUAGCUUGUGAAAAGUAUGUUGUCUGGUUAUGUUUAUCGCUAAUUUGAAAAUUAUUUUGUUACCAUGUUAUGUGAUAUUAUGGCAUAAUUGAUUUUUCAUGACUGUUAAAAAUGUGAUGUUUUGAUACAUCAAGAUUGUAAUCCCCAAAUUUUGCCCUGGGCCCGACGCAUAUAUAUAUAAAAAUUAAUUAUUAAAAGUCCAAAAGCCCAAUAACACAGUCUAGUCUUUUUUACACUAGAAGGCCUAAAUCCAAGUAGGCCCAAAUGCCUAUAACCAGAAUACUAAACCCGAAUGGCCCAAUUACAGCGGCCCGACACCUACCCAACAGUAAAUAAAACCUAGCCCUAGCAGCAUCCGACUCCCAGUGCAGCAGUAGCCAAAUCCUCCUCCGCACAUGCCGAGCCCCUGCCUCCACGUGCACCUCCGUACAUGCCACGCCCACCACCUCCAUACGCCGUACCUACAAAUAGGACGAAAACAACGCAGGAGAGAAAGAGAAAAACAUUGUAUUUUUUUAUUUUAUCUGCAUUUUCGAAUAUUUGGCUAUAAAAAACAAAGAAAAAGCCAUUUUUUUUACGGAGACAGACGAAAAGCAAUAGAGAAAUAAAAAAAAUUCAAAAAAAAGUAAAGAACAGAUCAUUUCAUGUGGCUUUUCGACUUCGUGUUAUUAUUAUUAUUUCUUUCGUUUUCUUUGAUUUGUUUUCAUUUUAGAUGCGAAAAAUAUAAAAGAAAAACGGUGCGAUUACCUUUGUGUGCGCCAUCUAAACCUCUGCUUGCUCCGUCCCAAAUCAGAGCUGAAAGUGGAGGGUCUAAAGUCUAUGCGGCAGCGACAAAAAAGACAGAAGUUGCUACUGGUUUUAAGGUUUAAAAUGGGCUAUUUAAAGUAGGGAAAACGACACCGUUUAGGGCCUGUGUCAAUGGCUCUAAAAUGGUGUCGUAUUGGGCCAUACCCAAUGACCCGACCCAAAUGCGGCUAGAUCCGCGUGUUUUGGCAGGGGGAGGGAUAUUUGCUCAUCAAGUCCUUUUGCCUUUGUGCCGUGGUUCAAUCAAGUCCUUUUGUUACUUUGAUUUUCUCUAUGUAAUUUUCUACUGGUUUCAUUUCGAUCCACGAUGAAACGUAACGUUUUGGAGGGUAGGGAUUAAUUUCCCUUUUGGGCCCACCUUGUUAUUCGCACGUUCAAUGUGGUCCAUAUCCUUUUAUUUAUUUCAGAUUUGCCCUUAAAUUUUUGUUUUAUUUACAAACUAGUUCAUUGUUUUGUUAUUGUUGUUAUCAAAUUAAUUAUUUUAAUAUUAAUUUUUUAUUAUUAUAAGUAUUAUUAUUGUACUAGUUUAUAUAUUUAUUUACCUUUUUAUGUACAUUAUUUUAUUUUACUAUAUACUAUUAUUUUAAUUCUUUUUAUCACGUACUACUAUCUUAUUUCAUAAUGUAUAUAUUUUUAUGAUCAAUUUGGACACAUUUUUAUGAUUUUAUUUUAUAAUAUAUUCUUAAAAUCCAUUUUUUCAUAUAUUUCUAACUUUAAAGAUUUAUAGAAUAAUAUUUUCAUAAAUCCACUUCACGUAUAUAAUUUAUUUUAAAACUUUGGUACAUGUGAUUUAUAAAUUAAAAUUUCUCCUUUUGUUAUUUUUAGUGUAUCUUUAAAAUUUUUGAUAAAUAGUUCAUUUGAUGUUUGAUCGUUGAUAUUGGUAUUUACAUAAUAUAUGAUUGAAAUUAUUGUUGUUAUGUUUGUUCGUAUUUGUUUGUUAAUUGUUUGAUAUUCAUUGGUGAACAUUUUAUUUUUGAAUUAUCCUUUUGCGUUGUACGUAAGCAUUCAACCACAUUAUACUUGUUUUAAAGAUUAUGCUCCAUUAAAUCACUAAAGUCAUCCCAUUUCGUAAAUUUUCAAAAAAUGAUCGGUGUUCACGAUUCUCGAGAGGAUUGUGCCCUAACUUACUAGGCUUCAAUUCUUUUCGAUGAAUUUAGAUAGCCAAGUAUUUCUUUUGCAAUAAAACCAUACAAAUUUAAAAUAAAAGUUUUUCGGGAUUUCAAAAUGUUGGAUCCUAACUUACUGGAUAUGACAUCUUGCUACCUCGAAUUAAGGAUUUAAAAAAAUAAAGGUAAUAUUCGGUAUUUAGGAAUUUUGGGAAAUUGAACCCUAACUUACUGGGUUUUGAUUUUUCAUUUGACUCAAAUAACCAAAUAUCCUUCUCAAAAUGCAUGGGUUUUAAAAGUCAAAAGAUAAACUUAAUUUUAAAGAUUAAAAGUGUUGCGCCCUAACUCACUGGGUGUGACAUUUUAUUUCUUUGAAAUAAGAGUAUUUUAUUAUUCAAUUUAUUCAAGUUAAAAGGAUCGUAUUUUAAAAUCUUUUCAAAAUUUCGACACUAAGACAUUAAACAAUCAAGUCGGUACCAAUUCUGGGCGUUACGAGGGAGCUAACCCUUCCUCGAGCGUAGUCGACUCCCGAACCUGUUUUCUCAAAUUUCGCAGACUAUAAUCGUUUUCAAGGUGGUCCGAUCACACCUGAAAUAAAGGUCGGUGGCAACUCCCAUUUUCGUUUUUAAGUCAAUGACUAAUUUUUAUUUUUAAAAAAGUAGUUUCGACAACUUGGCGACUCCGCUGGGGACACUUAGAGAGUCGAGCCGUAAAAUUAAUUAUUUUCUGUAUUAUUGCCGAAAGUUAAAAAUUUGAUUUGAAAAAUUACGAUCCUAUUGUUGCAUUUGUGUGUUAUAUGAUUUCUGUGGGUUGAGUCUCGUAGAAUAUUUUCGCAUCAUAUUGCGUAAAGGCCAUUUGGUCUUACCUUUUUAUGUGGGAGUGAGAUACUAUUCCUUCGUGAGGUUUUCACCUCCGUAUAGGAUAGUGGAUCGCUUCCGGGAUACAUCCGUACCUAUGCCUUUUUGAGAUUUUCAUCUCCGUAUAGUUAUAGAGAAAUGUAUUCCCCUAAACCAAACUCGGUACGCAUGAGCCUAUAAUGGGUAAGGAUCGAGGAAUCUGCUGGUUCAGGUACCUUUGUCCUAGAAGCCAAACCUCAUGUAGUGAACCUUAGGAACUCACCCUAGAUAGAACUACACCCAAACUCUAGUAAAUACCCGAAUAGGUGUUGUAUUAUUUAUUUAUUGUAUUGGAUUCUAUGUUUAUACAUGGUACUGACCUUUUGUGUUUUACUUUGAUUGCAUGGUAUUUCAACUACAUGGCAUUUCAUUAAGAAAGGCGUCGGUUUAUAUUAGGUUGCUAGUUAGGAAACUUAUCAUGGAAAAAGGGUUUGUUGAUAAGGUGGAGGAUAAUACGGCUGUCAGAACUUGGUCUAAGAUGAUACAACGUGAGAAAGGUGACAGUUUGGACGAAGGAUAUGUAUCAGAAUUAUGGGGCUUUAAUCGUAUUAGCGUAACCCAGAAUAGUCUACAAGAGUUGAAGGAAAUCUGGGAUCAAUAGAACGAUAAGGAUAGACAGCUAUUCUACUCUAAUUAUGGGGAUUUGCCUUAUCUGCUUGAUAUGAAGGUAUACAAGCACAUGUUUCGGGCUCUCGCCCAAAUUUGGAAUACUUCCUAUAGUUGCUUCACAUUCGGGAAAGUCGAUCUAGUGCCUACGGUAGAAGAAUACAUAGCUUUACUUCGGUGUUCGAAGAUUCAAGUCGACAGAGCCUACUCAAGAGCUAUAAGUGUACUGACAUUUUUGAAGAAAUUGAUGAACAUAACCGGGAUGAGUGAGCAGUGGGCUGCAGCUCAAAUCAAAUAGAAGGGAGAUAACAAGUGCAUUCUUUGGAAGAAUUUGAAGGAUAUAAUUCUAGCACACCCGGAUACGAAGAAGAAGGUAGAUGUCUUUGUUUUUAGCAUUUAAGGCUUAGUUAUCUUCCCCAAUGCUUUGGGACAUGUUGAUGAGGUAGUCACUGACUUGUUCGACUGACUUGAUAAGAGGGUUACGCCAGUUCCAGCGAUUUUGGCAGAAACAUUCAGGUUACUAAAUGCCUGCUGAAGAGCGGGUGAAGGUAGAUUCAUCGGAUGUGCACAGCUAUUACUCGCUUGGUUCCACAAUCAUUUCUGGAAAGUUGAUAAAAUUUUGUAUUGGGUCUACUCUGAAAACUAUUCGCCACUAAAAGAGAUAGUAGCUACACCGGGAGGGACGACAUCUCGGAGGAGAAGUGGAUGGCCAUUCUUCAGAAUCUGCAAGAAGAGAAUGUUGAGUGGAGAGCUCUGUAGUUGCUUUCGGAUGAGAUUUUGUAUCAGUACGGUGAUUUUGAUUGGGUCCCUCUACCUGGAAUUUGGGGAGCUGUUGGUUAUGCCCCGUUGUUAGUGCUUAGGUAGUUUAGGUUAAGGCAGUUUGUACUCGCAACUCAGAGACUAGUUGAGUGUGAAUUUUCAUACCAGGGUGAGGGUUGCAAAAAGAAGAUUCGAGAGAUGUCCAAUGCGUGGAACCAAACUCGUCGGAUGAAGAGAUUAGCCGUAGGUCCAAUGACGACUCCUGAGUAUAAUGAAUGGUGGGUUAGAAGAAUCAAUGAUAAUAUCCCUGAGCCAAGUCAAGAAAAUAGUCAGUCUAUGAAGGAACAUUUGUAGACUGUCCCAUCUGAGCUAGAAAUCAUAGGCAAGAUUUUGAAACAAGAAAUGCAGAAUUAGAAAAGAAGAUAGAACAAAUGGAAGAAGAGAAGAUGAACUUGAGGUUAGACAUAGAUGUUCAAAAACUUGAAGCCGAAACUUUAAGAAAAGGGAAAAAUAAGGCUGUGGAGGAUUUAGAUAGCUUUCAGACAGAUUAUAGGAAGUUGCGUCUCUCAAUGAGAACUGCCAGGUUGGGAAAAACUUUAGAGUAGUGGUGUCAGGAAAUUCAAGAGGAAAAGAUCAAGGCUAAUAGAUGGGAAAGGAAAUUUCAGGAGGCUCAAACGCUAAAAGAGACUCUAGAAAAAAUUUUGUCAGAAAGUCAAAAUGGAAAAAGGGAAUUAAGGGCCAAAGUAGAUGAAUUGGAAAGAUCUCUUCAUCAAUACCGAAAUCGUAAUCUCGCAAGGGAGCUGAGAGCGAGCUUAAGCAAGAUUAAAGGAAUGAAAAGAAGAAUAGAAGAAUUAUAAAUGGCACUACAAAGAUAUGAAAGCAGGAUUUAGCUCCUUGAAGCAAGUGAAGAGCGUCAAAAUGAACAGCUUCACUGUUUUCAAAACCAAGUUAGAAAUAGGGAUUACAUUAUGGAAGAGGCCGUGGUUCAAAUUCGAGGGGUAGCCGAUCACUUGCAGACCUUGGUAAUAUAGGCUGAUACGCCGAGUGUGAAGUACGAACUUGAAUAAGAUCGGGGGCAGGAACUAGCUUCACUUCUUAGAAAGAUUAAAGUUUUGAGCAUUAGGACAAAGCAUUAUUUGUAGUCCAUCUUAUGUAAAGAAAUUUUCUUUCUAGUAAAGUUUUCUAAAUGAAAUUGAAUUAGAAUCAACGCUUUUUGCAUUCAUUUCAUGCAUCGCAUUAUAUGCAUUAAAUACCAUUGAAAGAGCCUAAUUGAGUAAAAUUAUUUUAGUUAAUUUGGAAAACCAACACCCUCACGUUACCCAAGCAAAGACUAGGAAAAUGGACCAAAGGUUGGAGAAAUUAGAGCAAAUGCAAAUACAGAUGCAAGAGCAAUUGACCAAAUUUCAACAAGAUAUGAAAGAUCAGAUGCUAGAAUUCCAAGGAAAUCUGAUGAGCCAGUUAGCCCAGUUAUUGGCUGGGGGGCAGGAAAAAGGAAAAAACUCAGUUGUCCACUUUGGGGAAGAUAAGGAAGACCCUGCACAUCCCCCAGGUUUUACCCCAAUAAGUGCCCAGGUUUAGCCAGAUGCACGUCCACAAAGAGUACCCCUUAUUAUCAGACCCCAACAAUAUCAUACCGGUAUUUCAACACCAGUGAAUUGCGUGACAGGCCCAGGAUCCAAUCUGAGGGACAAUUUAGCUAAUCUUGUUGCUUUUGAUAAUCCAGUAGAAGUAAAACAGGUGAGGGAAGAGUACCCAGAUACUAUAAAGGCCCCAAGGAAGAAGGGAAAUAGGGGGGAUAAUGCAGGCAGAUAUAACAAGGGCCACUCAAAACCAAUCAUUGUGGGCCGGCCAAAGACAUAAACCACUAGCCAUCGGAGCCCUUUAAAGCAAGAAUCUUACACGAAGACAAACACUGAGAAGCUCCAGUUCACGCCAAUUUCGAUGUCAUAUAAGGAGUUGUAUCAAAGCUUAUUCGAUAUGCACAUUGUUGCCCCUUUCUACUCAAAACCCCCACAACCUCUGUACCCCAAAUGGUAUGACGCGAAUGUACAAUGCGAUUAUCAGGCGAGAAUUACGGGGCAUUCCAUAGAAAAUUGCAUUGCCUUUAAAAAGGUGGUUGAAAGGAUUAUCAGUAUGGGCGUUGUCAAAUUUGAUGAUUCAUCUAGUGCAGAAAAUCUGCUACCCAAUCAUGAUUCAUAAUGGAGUGAAUGAAAUGUAUGAAGAAGUGUUGGGAAAUGUUCACAUCAAUGUCAUAUAUGAAGACACAAUUAAAAAGGGUCAUUGCUAGAUAUUCGCCCUUAUCAACUUGGAGGUGUUCUAAAUAAUUAGACUGCAGAAGAAAUCCCUAUAGUAUUUAGAGCUUACUUAGAGUAAUAUUCAGAACACACUUGUUGCUUUUAGCCUAGAAGCAAUAAGAACUUCUUUGUGAAAUAGACUCAUGUCUGAACAUUAUUAUUUUAAUGAAAUACAUCUUUGCGGUCAUUUUUGAACAAAUAUUCUUUCAUUCCAUAUGAAUAAUUAUUUUGAUUCUUUUAUUCUUUUGGAUUUUCUUCCACAUCAUUCUCUCAUUCAUUCAUAAUCAUACUACACAAAUAAUUAUUUAUAAAUUCAUACAAUAUUUGUAUAUUCUUUGGUACCUACAAUAGGUCCCUAGAUAUCAAUGUCAUGAGUGACACUACUACAGACUUAGAAUCUCCUUGUGAACGAGACACGUGUUUAGAGAGAUCUCAUGACUUUGAAGAUGACAUAGAUCAUGGCCUAUCUCCGGACUUGUUGAGGAUGGUAGAACAGGAAGAGAAACAAAUUUUACCUCAUGAUGAGACAAUGGAGAUUGUGACCUUAAGGGAACGUGCAUAAUCAGAUAAACAAAGCAAGACCUUGUUGAGUUACCUUAAGCGUUCAAAGAUGUCUUCGCAUGGUCAUACCAAGAUAUGCCCGAGUUAAGCACUGAUAUUGUAAUCUAAGCAACAGCACAACGUCAAAAAUUUACAGUAUGUUCAAGAUUAACAUCAUGAACGAUGUAGUUAGAAUUCUUUGCCGGGACAAUGCCUUCUUCUUUGGCUUAUCAUAGUUUUGCCCGUUGAAGUCAAGAUGUUAUUUCUCCGCAUUUUUGUUAGAUUUUAUCCUAAUUGAAGAGGAAGAUCCAAAGUUUUUCGUCAUAGUUAAGUUUCGCCCCAAAAGGCUCUAUAAGAGAAAUCUGAUACCAAAGAAGAUCUUUCGCAUACAAAAUGAAAGUGGAAGAUCUUAUGUGGAAGACCUUAUCUGGACUAACAUUAAUUCUGAUCGAAAAGGAUUACUAGGACUUGCCUAAUCCUAUGAAUGCAGAUUUAAUAAAAAAAUCAAAAAAAGGAAAAUUAAGAAAAAAAAGAACAAAAAACAUCUACCAGGGCAAUGCCUUUCUCUUUAGCUUAUUACAGUUUUUACGUUGAAGUUGAAAUUCUUUCUCUCCAAGUAUUGGCUGAGCUAAAGUAGGAUGAAGAUUCAAUCUCGAUACGAUCAGUUAAACCUAAUUGAAGUAAAAAGACUAAAAGCUAUUCGUCACAGUCAGAUGUACCAAAAACGGAUGAUGCUAGCUUACAACAAAAAAGUUCGUCCUAGAGAAUUCCACGAGGGAGACCUAGUAUUGAAAAAGAUCAUUCCACUACAAAAGGAUUUUAGAGGAAAAUGGAUGCCAAAUUAAGAAGAUCAUUAUGUCGUAAAGAAGGCCUUCUCUAGAGGAGCUUUGAUUUUGAGCGAGAUGGAUGGAAAACCUGCCAAAUUCUAUAGACUCAGAUUCGAUCAAGAAAUACUUCACCUGAAGAAGGAGAAGAGACCAAGGUGAAAACCCACAAAGGGCGCUUUAAAAAAAAGAUACCAAAGUGAAAACCCGCAAAGGGCGCUUUGAGUCCAAAAAAUAAGAAAAAUAAAAAAUGGAGAGGCCAAGGUGAAAACCUGCAAAGGGCGCCUUGAGACCAAAGGGGAUUUGAGUUGAAAAUCCAAAAAGGGCGGCUCAAAUAUUGAUCAGAAUAGGGCAUGAGGUGAUCAGAACAGCUCGAACUUUGAUCAGAUAGGGGCAUGUGGUGAUCUUGUUAUACCUGAAUUAGCAGGAAAGGGUACGCGCCAUCUAGGGGCAUUAACAGAGUACUGUAGAUCUCUUAAGCACAUGUCAAACUCAGAAUGGUUUUCAGGAAGUUUGUACAGAGAAGUUCAAGCUGCAAUAUUUGGGCUAUGUUGAAUUUUUUAUUCUUGGAACACUUCAUUCUUUUCCAAGAUACACAUUCCCAAUCAAUUUCGUGGAACACUUCAUUCUUUUCCAAGAUACACCUUCCCAAUCAAUUUCUUUGUUAUCUAUCUUUGAUAAUUUAUUCAAUUCGAGCUAUGCUCUCGAAUCAAUACUAUUUUAUCCAUCGUUAUAUUCUUUUUGCAAGCAUGUUGCAUUAGAAUAAUGAUUAAUGGACUAAUAAAACUUUCACAAGGGAAGUUUUGCAUAUUACUCUAAAAGUUUCUAAAUAAUAUAGUAACCUGAAAUAGGACUAUUGUUUAGAAUGUACUAAGUUUAAAGGUUGAAAUAUCUAGGAAGGAAAAGUCUAAAUUGAGACUACCCCUUUCAGAUUUUGUUGUCAAAGCAUCGACUAAACAAAAUGACAAGGUGUCGUGUUGGUGACAAAACUUAAAUGAACAAGCAAACAAUGGUCACCGAAUAAUAAGAAAAAGCUAUUCUUGGAGAAAAGAAUUCUUCAUUUGUGCAUGAGCAUUUGGUACGACACCCUGGGAAUGGUGUAAAGGAAUAGAGAGAUUUAGAUCCUAUAUCAUUGAAUUGUGAUAGGAAAGGAUUGAGAAAAGGCCAGAUUUUUCUACCAUUGGGUUAUAGCGGAAGAAAGAUGGUACAAAUUUUGCAUCCCAGUGGAUUGAAUUUUGAAGUUCAUAGUGGGAGCAAUAUGAUUAAGUGUUUCUUUGGAGAUGCCAGCCGAGCGAAGGCGUUAUAGCUCAUCGGUGAUAAAACCUUAAUAAAUGUUGAGCAAUGACAACUUGAGCGAUAAAAAAGAUCAUUCUAAAAAAAUGACAUUCUGAAUUCAUGCAAACAUCAUUCAUACAUACCUAGUUAAGAGCAUUUGACUCAUUCUGAUCAUGACAUCCUAAUCACUAGGCAUAAUUAGGUUCAUAAAAUGAAUCAUACAGGUCAUGUUCCCGAGAGAACAAACCGGUGAAACUAUAAGUCCUAUCUCCAUGGACAGCAGUGGAAUAGGAUGAAGAUUGUAGAUCCUGUCUCCCUAAGCAGUAGUAGAAUAGAUCAAAGACGGUGAAUCUUAUCUUCCCAAGGUAGUAGGGAAGCAGAUUUAAGCUGCCAGUCCUAUCUCCCUGAUCAGCAGUGGAAUAGGUGGAAGAUUGUAUGUCCUAUCUCCCUGAACAACAGUGGAAUAGGUUGAAGAUAGCAAGUCCUAUCUCCCUGAACAGCAGUGGAAUAGGUUGAAGAUUGUAUAUCCUAUCUCCCUGAACAGCAGUGGAAUAGGUGGAAGAUUGCAUGUCUUAUCUCCCUGAACAGCAGUUGGAAUAGGUUGAAGAUUACAAUUCCUAUCUCCCUGAACAGCAGUGGAAUAGGUUGAAGAUUACAAGUUCUAUCUCCCUGAACAAUAGUGGAAUAGGUUGAAGAUUAUAAGUCCUAUCUCCCUGAAUAGUAGUGGAAUAGGUUGAAGAUUGUAGAUCCUGUCUCCCUAAGCAGUAGUGGAGCAGAUCGAAGACGGCGAAUCUUACUUCCCCAACAUUGCAGUCAAAUAGAUUGAAGCUACAACAACGAAUCUUACUUCUCUGGCGUUGCAGUAGAGCAAAUCGCAUCAGACUUCUCUUUAAAGUUACAACACAACAAGUUCAAGCUACAAAUCCUAUCUCCCUGAUGUCGCAGUGGAGUGGAUCGAAGAACCAAUUCCUAUACCUCUAAAGAUGCAGCAAUUUGGAAUGAGGUUACAUGAGGAAGAAGAACACCAAGAUCCAGCACGACCGGCCAAAAUUGGCCAUUUUAAAGUCUUUGCUCCGUUCUCGUUACACGACAACGAGCAAAGAGGGCAGCUGUAAUGCCUAAAUUAUUCCCUGGGCCCAACGCAUAUAUAUAAAAAAUAAAUAUUAAAAGCCCAAAAGCCUAAUAACACAGUCCAGUCUUUUUUACACUAGCAGGCCUAAAUCCAAGUAGGCCCAAAUGCCUAUAACCAGAAUACUAAACCCGACUGGCCCAAUUACAGCGGCCCGACACCUAGCCCAACAGUAAAUAAACCCUAGCCCUAGUAGCAUCCGACUCCCAACGCCGUAGUAGCCAAAUCCUCCUCCACGCAUACCGAGCCCCUGCCUCCACGUGCACCUCCAUACACGCCACAUCCACCACCUCCGUACGCCGUACCUGCAAAUAGGAUGAAAAUAACGCAGGAGAGAAAGAGAAAAACAUUGUAUUUCUUUAUUUUAUCUGCAUUUUCAAAUAUUUUGCUAUAAAAAACAAAGAGAAAGCCAUUGUAUCUUUUUUCCGGAGACAGACGAAAAGCAAUAGAGAAAUAAAAAAUUAAAAAAAAAGUAAAGAACAGAUCAUUUCAGGUGGUUUUCCGACUUUGUUUUAUUAUUAUUAUUUAUUUCGUUUUCUUUGAUUUAUUUUCAUUUUAGAUGCAAAAAAUAUAAAAGAAAAAGGGUGAGAUUACCUUUGUGUGCGCCAUCUAAACCUCUUCUUGCUCCGUCCCAAAUCGGAGCUGAAAGUGGAGGGUGUAAAGUCUGUGCUUCAGCGAGAAAAAAUAUAGAAGUGGCUACUGGUUUUAGGGUUUUAAAAGGGCUAUUUAAAGUAGGGAAAACGACACUGUUUAGGGCCUGUGUCAAUGGCUCUAAAAUGGUGCCGUAUUGAGCCAUUCCCAAUGACCCGACCCAAAUGCGGCUAGAUCUGCGUGUUUUGGCAGAGGGAGGGAUAUUUGCACAUCAAGUCCUUUUGCUUUUGUGCCGUGGUUCAAUCAAGUCCUUUUGUUACUUUGAUUUUCGCUAUGUAAUUUUCUACAGGUUUCAUUUCGAUCCACGAUGGAACACAGCGUUUUAGAGGGUAGGGAUUAAUUUCCCUUUUAGGCCCUCCCUGUUAUUCGCACGUUCAAUGUGGUCCAUAUCCUUUUAUUUAUUUCAGAUUUUCCCUUAAAUUUUUGUUUUAUUUACAAACUAGUUCAUUGUUUUGUUAUUGUUGUUAUCAAAUUAAUUAGUUUAAUAUUAAUUUUUUAUUAUUAUUGUACUAGUUUAUAUAUUUAUUUACCCUUUUUAUGUACAUUGUUUUAUUUUACUAUGUACUAUUAUUUUAAUUCUUUUUAUCACGUACUACUAUCUUAUUUCAUAAUGUAUAUAUUUUUUUAUGAUCAAUUUGGACACAUUUUUAUGAUUUUAUUUUAUAAUAUAUUCUUAAAAUCCAUUUUUCAUAUAUUUCUAACUUUAAAGAUUUAUAAAAGAAUAUUUUCAUAAAUCUACUUCACGUAUAUAAUUUAUUUUAAAACUUUGGUACAUGUGAUUUAUAAAUUAAAAUUUCUCCUUUCGUUAUUUUUGGUGUAUCUUUAAAAUUUUUGAUUAAUAAUUCCUUUGAUGUUUGACCGUUGAUAUUGGUAUUUACAUAAUAUAUGAUUGAAAUUAUUGUUUUUAUGUUUGUUUGUAUUUGUUUGUUAAUUGUUUGAUAUUCAUUGGUGUACAUUUUAUUUUUGAAUUAUCCUUUUUGCGUUGUACGUAAGCAUUCAAUCACAUUACACUUGUUUUAAAGAUUAUGCUCCAUUAAAGCACUAAAGUCAUCCCAUUUCGUAAAUUUUCAAAAAAUGAUCGGUGUUCACGAUUCUCGAGAGGAUUGUGCCCUAACUUACUAGGCUUCAAUUCUUUUCGAUGAAUUUAGAUAGCCAAGUAUUUCUUUUGCAAUAAAACCAUACAAAUUUAAAAUAAAAGUUUUUUGGGAUUUCAAAAUGUUGGAUCCUAACUUAUUGGAUAUGACAUCUUGCUACCUCGAAUUAAGGAUUUAAAAAAAUAAAGGAAAUAUUCGGUAUUUAGGAAUUUUGGGAAAUUGAACCCUAACUUACUAGGUUUUGAUUUUUCAUUUGACCCAAAUAACCAAAUAUCCUUCUCUAAAUGCAUGGGUUUUAAAAGUCAAAAGAUAAACUUAAUUUUAAAGAUUAAAAGUGUUGCGCCCUAACUUACUAGGUGUGACAUUUUAUUUCUUUGAAAUAAUAGUAUUUUAUUAUUCAAUUUAUUCAAGUUAAAAGAAUCUUAUUUUAAAAUAUUUUCAAAAUUUCGACACUAAGACAUUAAACAAUCAAGUCGGUACCAAUUCUGGGCGUUACGAGGGAGCUAACCCUUCCUCGUGCGUAACCGACUCCCGAACCUGUUUUUUCAAAUUUCGCAGACUAUAAUCGUUUUCAAGGUGGUCCGAUCACACCUCCAACAAAGGUCGGUGGCGACUCCCAUUUUCAUUUUUAAGUCGACGACUAAUUUUUGUUUUCAAAAUGUAGUUUCGACAGAGAUAAUUUGUGAAUUGCAUGUCAAAACAUGCCUAUGUGAUACUAUAUGUUAAAUAGUUCAAUUAGCAUGAUUCACAUGCCUAAAGUGAUAUUCUGUAAUAAAAUGAAAAUUUGUUCAUUGUGGUCAAAUCACAUGCAUGGGGUUGGGAUAUGUGUAAGGAGAAAGAUUUGGGUUCUUCUCUAGAAAUUUGCUGGCUUCGUCCAAACUUACAUGGCAGCUUGUCUGCAAAUUUUGUAGUUUAUCCAUAACCUACAUGAUAGCUUGUCUACAAAUUUGGUGGCUUUGUCCAUAUAUUUGUUGGAGUGUUUGACUGGAUGAGUUCUAGGGAACUCUUUUUGGAGUGUAGCGGUGAUGGGUGGGAUGUUUUAAAAAGAGUUGCAUAAUUGUUUUACAAAAAUUGCACUACCAUGAUCACGUGCAUAAAUAUUGGUUAUUUUGAAUGAUAGUAAGUGAUUAUUGUUAUUUGAAUUGUUAUAAGACUCACACUGAGCUUAAAAGCUCACCCUUUUAGUUUCAUAAUCUUUUCAAGUGAUUCAAAGACAUAGGACUUGGAUUCAGCUUAUGAAGGAGCCUCUCGGAUGUAUUGUUAAUAAAAGGUUUAUGAACUAUUGGGUUAUUUUAUACUUUGGACAUUGAACUUUCAUUGGGUUAUUUUUUUUACUUUUUAAUUUUUAAACUGCCAUGCAUGCAUGUUUGAUGAACUUACAAGUAUUUUGAAUUAUUGUUAUUUAAGUUAUUUAUUAUUUUUAUUCGAUUUUAAAUAAACUUAUAAAUUUAUAUUUUUCUAAGUAUUUUCAAAAGUUCAUUGCGAAAUAUUUUUACCAAAAUCAUUUUUUAGAACUAAUUAAUAAUAUUACAAAUUCCUUAUUUUAAUUACUUAAGACGAUAUUUCAAUAAAAUAAUGAACUUUUCAAUAUUCGUGUUUCAGUAAGUGUUUUUCAAAAACAAAAUUACUUAGUAUUUAAAUUUUAGAGAUUGUGUAAAACAAUUGAACUUAGUUAUUUUUAACAAAUAAAUGUUUUCAACAAUUUUAAUGUGGCUUCUGGAAUUUGGCCAUAACGUCUAGGCUGGAUUUUGGGGGGUUACACGUCCUUUGUGCUCCUCGGCCUGAAAUGGCACCCUACACACUCA